rnacentral:lncRNA from 1 species
GACAAUAAACGCUUACUUUCUAAGCUGAACUGCGAGUAAUGGAGGUCGAACAACGACGGCUCGACGGAAGGCAAGAUUGGACGACGACCUUCCUUCCCUAUUGCCGCACGGCUGCCGCGACCAGAUCUCCUACCGUCAGUUCCGGCGACAUCACGACCUGUAUGGCCCCAACGCUCCCCUGGAUCGUAACGUUGAGGAGCAGCUUCGUCAGCUUCGGCCGUAAUUCCAUCAACGACGCUGUCGUUCCCACCGCGUUCCUGAACGACGCCAUGUCCGGCACCGUUUUCGGCCUCCGAAGCUGCUGCGUCGCCAUCUCCGAAAACUGCCCGUGGAACGACAACGAUCUGUCGGACAGCAAAAGCUACAAAUUAUUGUAUAAGCUUCUUACAUUGGUUUUAGUGUUACUGGUUACAACCGAUUCAGUGGAAAAAGCGUUUUCGCUUCUCUACCGAGGCUUCGCCAGUGGACGGAAGUAGUAACCAAAAUCUACUCUAAAGAUUGUUGGAAAUGUUGCAAUUCGGAUGCUACUUCUCCCACAACAAAUCACAUAUAAUUAAUAUUAGUAUAUCAUAUUUUUAUCACCACAAUUUAUUAAAUAAAGUAGGCCAAAUUAUUUUCGUGAUCCUUGUGGUGAUACCCUACUUUUAAAUAGACCAUGUGGUGAAAAAGCUAUUAAUUGUAAUCUUGCAGUGAAAUUCGUUAUUAAUCAUAGUCCAAAUUGAAUUUUUCCUCAUUCUUCUGUCAUUUGUAGGAUAAAAUUGUUAUUUUUGUUUUUAUUGAUUCCGUCAACCAAACAUAAAGCGCCAUAUCGACAUAUUUUUUUUAUUUUUGAAAAUUUUAGAGCUAUAAUAAAAUUACAAGGUUCAUAUUAUCAGACUUUCUCAUUUCAAGAGAGCCAAGAGUCCAAAUUCAAGAUUUAAAAAAUCACAAAGUACCUCGCCGCGUUUAGGUUAGAAUAUAAGUUAUUAUGCAAACAUUGAAUUUAGUUUCAUGUUAAGAAGAACAGUGGUGGACGGGAUGGCUAGGGUUAUGUGAGAGAGUGGGAGAAGGUGGUGGGUGGUCGUUGUGGCUAUAGCUGACAAGGGUAGGGAUUGGGGAGGGAUUUCUUCUUCUUUUUUUUGUUGAUCAUAAAAAAGUGGAAUUACCAAAAAGAAUGGAAUGACUUUUUUACCCCUACAUGUGGAUGAGAUUUUGACAGAAAUUUCAAUUUGGACUAGGAUUGAUAACGAACUUCACCACAGGGUUAAGAUUAACACUUUUUUCACCACAUGGAUCAAUUUAUAAGUAAUGUCUCACCACAAGGAUCAAGAGAAAAAUUUAGCCAAUAAAGUAAACCAAAUAAGAUAAAAUACUUAUCUUUUAUAGGUAGAGAAUGCUCUUCGUUGAUCAUUGAUUAAAACAAGAUUUUAGGUUGAGGCAUGUAAUCAUUAUCCUUAAAAGUAAAUUUUGGCCUUCUAAGGCAAUUUGUUCUCUUUUUGGGACUGGCAUAUGAUCCCAUUAACCUUACAAGUUACAAGUCAACGAAGUGACCAUACUUUUCACGACCAAGUCGAGGGCUAAAAUUUUCGCGUAUAAAAGUUGAUGAAUUUCCAGGUCUAAUCAUAUAUUGUCAUGCAUAUAAAAGACAGUUUAACAAAUCACAUUACAUUAUACUACUUGGCUGAAAAAGAAAUAAGGGUCACCAAUACAAAUAGAACACACCUCUAUUUAAAAGACAGUUUAACAUGGUCUACCGAACAAACUUAAAAUAUAUAUAUAUAUAUAUAUAUAUAUAUAUAUAUAUAUAUAUUUCCCAACUUAACUAAAAUACAACUUUCAUGUCAAAUGGGGAUUAGUUGUGGGACUCACAGCACACCGAACUUCAACGAUUCGAACCAUUUAUUUUUCAAGUUGAACCUUGUAGAUCAUCCUUGCAAAAUAUUAGCCAAGUUGAAAAUAUUUGAGACAUCUACUUGAGUUCAAAGAAAUUGACGAACACUUUGUUCUACAAGAAACAAUGAAAUUACAUCAUGUGGAUUAAAUUGAAUUUUUGAAAGAAUGAUCUAUAAAUUGGGACUUACAAAAUAGACGGUUCGGAUCGUCGAAAUUCAACAUGGAAUGGACCCUACAACUAGUCCGUGUUUUUAUCCAAAAAUGGUGAUCCCUUUGAAUAAAGGGCAUGUAUCUAUUAAACUAUUGAGUGAUUUUAUUUUCAUUGAAACUACUUUUAAAAAUUGAGACUCUUCAAAUAACUUUGGAUAAUACUUACAUACUCACUAGUGUAUACUUUGUAUACUUGAAUUUUAGAUUUGGCCGAAUAAUAUUUUAACACAUGUUUUAUUGUUCUAAAUAAUAGUACAUAUGUUGUUUAAUUUUUCUUAGACUUUUAAAAAACAAAAGAUUGUAUCAUCUUUUUUUUUUUUUGUCAAACGAUAAAUUUUGUUAUAUUAGAUGUUAGAUUAGUUAUUGACGGAGUUUAAACUCACGCCAUCAUGCAAGAGCUCAAUGUGGAUGCAAAUUUCUUCCUCCUUGAUCUUGGACAAAAUUGUACCUAUAAAACAAUUAACACCUUAGGGUCAAGGCCAAGAGCUUCACGCGCUCAAAAUGAAUGGGGGGGGCUUUGGCCGAAAAAUCUCCGAUGCCAAAGUUAGAAUUUAGAGAGAAAAGUGUUUAGAGAGUAUUAGAAAUUUUGCAAGUGUGUGAGAGACCUCUCUUGGAGAAAAUGUGAGACUUUUUAUAGGGGAGUGGCCGGCCUCCUUGGGUGAGAGAGGACCGGCCACCUAGCUUUGUUUGUGGACUCAUUUGUUUCAAAUUGGGAGUUAUGAAAUAAUUAGCUAAUUAAUCAAAAUAACUCCCUAAUUAACUUAGCUAAUUAUUAUCAUAAAAAGGAAAGAUGUGAUAGAAAAGGUAGAAGGCAUGGUUGAUUUCUUUGAGGGUGAAGGAUGACCGGCCUUGUUGUAGGUUUUGGAUAAAAUGAUGACUUAAUUGACAAUUAAGGGAUUAAUUAUGCAAUUAACCCAUUAAUUAGCUAAUUAUCAUGAUUUUGGAAGGAAUGUUUUAGGAGUUAUGGAAUGAAUAAAUUAUUUAACUAAUUGAUUAGCUAAAUAAUAAAGUAGAAAAUAUAUGGAAUGAAAUAGGUUUUAAAUUGUUACCUAUUUUGGCACUUUUGACUUCAUUGAGGAAUGAUUGCCAGCUGCUCGCACGUAGGGAACCCGUUAUGUCUCAAGGGUAUUUUUGUCCUCUUUUGCCCAAAAAUUGACGUGUCGCCUUGUGAUUAUUUUUUGCUCUACACUCAAUACCUUUAUACCAUUGUGGUAAAGGGUCACUUGCGUAUCAUCUUUUGAUUUGCCAAAUUAGAAAAUAAGUAUAUAUGGAGAGAUUUUUCAGUGUGACCGAAAUACAAGGUAGUAUACCACGUGUCACCAUACAAAUAGUAUGAUAUGUGUGCUAAAAUAUUAAUAACUUAAAAAAAUAAAAAAUUUCACUACUUAUAUAAAAACACGUGAUAUACUACCCGUGUUCCGAUUACAAUAAAAAAUUUCCCGUAUAUGUGAUACUAGUGAAUGAGUGUACUGACCAACCACCACUUACAAGUUAGCGGUUACGCGUGCACUAACAUAAUCUAGCUAGUGAUUGUACACGUCCUUUUUAGUCAAACAAUAAUAAUGGAGGGGAGUUUUACACACUUUAAUGAUUUAAUCAAUGAUAAUAGAAGGAGGAUGAGGCGGCAUUCAAUAUUAUAACUACAGUCCUCAUCUAAAUAAUAUAUCAAUUAUUAUACAUAUUUAAGAUUUACCCUAAAUUAUCUUCUUAUUCUUAAUUUAUAAUGACAUUUUUGUACUCAGAUAAUGUAAAGAGAUUAAAUUUAUAGACAAAUUUUUAUAAACUAAUGGCAUAAAAUUGAAUUGUAAUUUAAGAAUUGAUAAACGUGUUCAUUCCUAUUAGUAAAACAUCAUUUAGUUUGUAAUUUUAUUUACAAAUUUAAUCUCUCUAAACAUUACUUUUUGUACUCACAACAAGUGAAAAAUACCGUUAGAUUGUAGUAGUAAGUGUCAAUCGCUUUCUGUUAAAAAAAAUAUAUACUUAUAUAUGGAGUGCUAAAAUUAGUGGGCAAACUUGAAAAUGCAGGAAAAACCCUUUCAUUUUUUUUUUUGAACGGCUAAAGAUGCAUAAUUGAUGUAAAAUCUAAUCAAAAUUUUAACUGUACAAAUUGCAAGUGCUAUUAUAUAAUUCAAGGAAUAUUUACAUAUAUCAAGAGAAAGCUCUCUCCAAAAUUCUAAAGCUUAUUAUUAAGCCAUUUUCUUGUGCUAAUAAAAACCUGAAUUAUAAAACCUUCUUCUACAGCACACCUACAUAUAUACACUGCCACAUGCAAUUUUCAAAUAAUUAACAUUUAAUUAAUUGUGGCCAAACUAAUUAAUCCCAACUACAACAUGAAAUUCAUGAACUUCAGCCACGCAAACCCAUUCCUUGAAACUUUCUCCGCCUCUUUUGAACAUGACGCGGACGACGCCGUCGCUCCACCGCCACCUCCACCGCCCACGGCUUUUGCGUUAGGGCACAGAAAGAAGUUCCUGGAUCCCAACUCCAUCAGCUUCUCCUCCCUAGCCAAACCUGGCCCCACAGAUAAUUACCACAAUCAAUACGCGCCGGAACGUGUUAAUCAAUCGCAUACCAAAUUAAAUCGGGGACGUUGAUUUUAUAAGGCGAAAAGACAAUAAACGCUUACUUUCUAAGCUGAACUGCGAGUAAUGGAGGUCGAACAACGACGGCUCGACGGAAGGCAAGAUCGGACGGCGACCUUCCUUCCCGUAUUGCCGCACGGCCGCCGCGACCAGAUCUCCUACCGUCAGUUCCGGCGACAUCACGACCUGUAUGGCCCCGACGCUCCCCUGGAUCGUAACGUUGAGGAGCAGCUUCGUCAGCUUCGGCCGUAAUUCCAUCGACGACGCCGUCGUUCCCACCGCGUUCCUGAACGACGCCAUGUCCGGCACCGUUUUCGGCCUCCGAAGCUGCUGCGUCGCCAUCUCCGGAAACUGGCCGUGGAACGACGACGAUCUGUCAGAGAGCGGUCUCGGCCUGCGGUACUUCUCUUCCGGCUGCCCCCUCCGGCUAGAACUCUUCGGGCUGGGCAUGCUCCGUGAAAAAAAUAAUGUAAUAUCUAUAGGACAAAAACGGAAAAAACUACUUUUUGUGGUGUUUCGUUUGGAGCGGGUGGAGCAGUUACCUGUUACCUCAAGCGUCGGUAUCGGAAAUACCUGGGGCGAGGGAAGCCGAGAGCAGGGGAAGAGCUUCGGCUCCCAAAUUUCCGGUAGCCGACAGCUAUCAUAACCUGAUUGGUAUAACUGUAAUAACCAGAAUCCGACGAUGGCAAAAGGGGAAAUAUAAUAAAAGGGGGGGGAGAGAGCUUAAACCAGCCCCCGCCAUCGUAUGGAUUUUAUACCCACAACAAGAUAAGGGGUAGCCUAGAAAUUAACACGACUUUUCUAAGGGUGGUGACCGGGUACUGGCUAUUUCCGGUUAAAUAGACGGAGGGACGAGGAAGGGUCUUUUUCUAUUAGUAUUUCAGGAUUUCAAUCGUGUUGUGACGUAAUUUAUCUAAAUGAUUGAAGAUAUGGAUGGCCGCUUUUUUCGAUUGUAUUUUUUCGGCACAUGUUCGCAGAGAAGUAAAAUUUUUUGGUACAUGCCAUUGCUUGUACAUGAUUUCAUUUUAAUAAUUUUUAUGUUUGGGAUAGUGCCAAAAAGAUCAAUCUAUCGUAACUUAUUAUGAUUGUGGUCAUUUUAUUAAAUACUUUCCCUUUUUGUAUAAAAAUUGUUGGCAAUUUAGUUAAUUUUUUACAUUAACGUGGUUUUGAUGUUUUAUGUAGUAAAGAUUUUAUACUAUAACUAUGAUUUUUUUUUUCUAUGUGGUAUUUGGGUUGAAGAUUAUUUCACUGGUUGUUUGAAUAUUAGAUUUUUAUUUCUUGAACUGGAUAUUAAUUUUUAUUAACGGACAUUUUGUAUAUAAUUGUUUUUUUUAAAGGAGACAACUAAUAGUAAGCUACGGUUAUCCACCCCUUUCAAGGGUUGAGAAGACUCACAAAGACAUUUCAAUCUCUUCCUGACCAUAAAUCUUGUUUCCACACCAGUAGCGAAUUUCAAUCCCGAGUUUGUAUAUAAUUAUUUAAAACAAUAAAAUAUGUACUAACAUAUUAUUGGACUAAGCAAUUAGCUCUCUACCACAACGGUAGAGAAGAGUAAUCCUUGCACAUCGGCAUGAGUCCAAAUUUUAUUUAUUUAAUUUAACAAAUCAAUUGUUUGACAAAAAAAACAAUAUUAUUGGACUAAAUGACAAUGUUACUAUUGGCAUGUUCACACAAUUGAGUUAUUUGUUACAUGCGUCUGUAAGAUCGGUCGUCGCAACGAGCCACGUGGAUGGAUGAUCGCGGUGCGACCUCCGGCAACGGUGAGAGGUCAAUGUAGCUAAUGAUUGCUCAGUCGGAGAAGGUUGCUAUGGUGUUGCGAUAUGUCUCCGGUUUGUCACGUGCUUAGCACGUGGAGGUGAGCGAUGAUAGGGUUACGGUGGUCACGCGUGAAAAGUAAACGGCUUCGUGGAGUGGGGCUAGUGGUUUGAGAAAGCUUCAGCAGACACGCACGAUAGCAUAGGACAGAGCCCCUUGAGACUCUAGCCUCUAGCCUAUAGGGAAUUGAAGCGUGUGUGGACUUCCACCGUCCACGUGGCAAAAUCGGAGUGGACUAUUGGGCUGGCAGCACGUGCUCAUGCCACGUGGCCCAAACGGGUCUUGCAGAAAACAGCAUUUGAGGUGAUGGUGCAAUUACGUAUUUUGUCACAUACGAGUUAAUCACAAAGAGUGGGUUUCCUGUCAAGCAUUACAUCAUCAAGUAAAGUAAACGAUGAACAAUUCUCCAACUUUAAAGAAAUAUCAACGAAAAGUAAAGUUAGUUCGUUUUUUUCUUCAUUUUUCACCAGAAGAUGUUUUAUUACGAGAAAAUAGUCCUACUGCGUUUAGGCCAUCUCCAACCCUUGGGCUAAAAACCAAAUUUUUUAACCUGAAAAAUUUAGUUUUUAGCCCAGAAACAUCUUUUCUGCUCCAACACUUCUACCCUAAAAUUUUAGCCCAGAAUUAUUAAAGAAUGAAAUUAGCCUCAAUUUUUUUCUUAAAUCAAUUUUUAUUAAAAAAAUAAAUAUGUAGAUUAUUGUAAAUUAAUUUUAUGAACAUUUUAAUCUAAAAAAAAUUAAAUUCUGAUAAACAUUUCGCAUUUAGCCCGGGGGGAAAGCUGGGGGGUAUUUGGCCCAGAAAUAGCAUUUGGCAUUUAGCCUAAAAUUUUAGCAUGGGUUGGAGAGUGUUUGGGGGAGGGUAAUUUGGCUUUUAGCCCAGGGUUGGAGAUGGUCUUAAAAGCGAUCAUACGCUUCCGGUCAAAAUAAUAUAAAUGUGCUUUAUUCCAAAUAAAUGAAAUUUAAAAGAAGGUACAGAGAGAAAGAUAUAGAAAGAAAUCAACGGUCGGGAAGAUUAAUAUAAUAAUGAAAAAAUAAAAUGACUCAUGUAUAAAUUGCCUCUACUCUAUAUUACACCAUAAAUAGAGUAGUUUAAUUUUAUAAUCAAAUGAUUAACAAGAGGUGGGUUCAAAAAAUAAAAAACUGAAAAAAAAAGGGACCGAACACCGAAUCGAAACUGAAAUAAAAAGAAUCGAAAAAGAAAAAACCGAACCGAACCUUAUUGAUUCGAUUUCGGCUUUGGAGGUUCGAAACCGAGCUGUGAUGUCCACUUAGACUUCGAAUCGAGCUGUGAUAGGUGUCACCUAAAAGGUGACAAAGCCAUAAAGUGUAGUAAAGUGGAAAGUGUGAAUAAAUAUAAACCUAAAAGUGCGUAAAUAUAAGAGUCCGCUUGUGAGCCGAAAUGAAUCCAUUUCACAUGUGAUGUCAAAGCAUAAGUAAAGUACAAUAGAGUAGAUUGAGAAUUUUACCAUCGAAGAUAACCACCUAUACCAAGAUUUGCAAAGAAUCCUCGUCGACACGAAAGCUUUGCUACUAAAACCUGGAGGGGCGAAAAACAAAAGUGAGUGUGCCUAAAAAUAAAGUUUUCUAAAACCUUUUCGAAAACAUACUAACCUCUCGCUAUAAAACAAGUAUAGUUUCCAAAGUAUUCAUACUACAUAUAGUAUGAAAAUACUUACUGUAAUCAGCAAUAUCUCAAUAAUGCAAUAUGUCAAGACAUUUCGUAAAUAAACACCUAACGUCCGGAAAUCACAUAAUCUCGCAUAAGCAACCAUAUCAUAUCGAGUGCUCAUCGACAUAUGCUAACACAUAAGUUCAUGCAUAUAUGUUCUAACAUAAACAGGACUGGGUUAAUAAUUAUUUACGCUUUAGUAUUACAAUCACGUGAAAACUGGCACUAUGCGCAUCUCAUACGAGUCCUAAUUGCCUAUAGCAAUCUAGGACUGGACUAGCACCUACUAUGGAUCCAAAGUGAGCGUAUAGUGCGAUGUGAACUUACACGUAAACCUUGACCCUGACCCGAGCGAGUACUAACACCAGUGGACGAUGAGCAGAUAGCAUAAAUAAAACCAUACAAUGGUAAAUCAAUAAUUCACAUCACCAUAAUGUUAUUCACAGCCAUAAAGAUAAUUAAGGCUUCAAUAAUAUUACGCAUACUUUUGCAUCCCGUAUGACGUAGCAUAAUUGCAAGAUUUCUAUCUAGGCGUAUCAUAGAAAAUUAUUUAUGAAAUAUAUAAAUGGAAACUAACAAACGCGCACACACACACACACACUAUAUAUAUAUAUAUAUAUAAAGAAAAGACUCAUUCGUAAGUACUUGCGAGGUCGCAGCCGUUCGAAUUAAGAAAGCUGGAGCCACCGAUAAUAAUCGCACCUAAACAUGACAUUGGGCCCGUUAGUAAAACUCAACUAAAACGACUAAAUUUGAGAAAACGAAGUGUGGAUUUGGAAUCAGAGCGUUGAAAUACGCUAAGAAUGGUCCCGAACAAAUUUUGUAAAAAGUCAACAAUCAACCCUAAAAAGUCAACUGAGUUGCCGAGGCGGUCAACUAUUUUAAAACUUCGGAAUAAUUAAUUAAAUGGAUACCAAAAAUGAACUCGGGACGUUGAAAUUAGCCUAUAAAGGUUUCCAAUAAAAUUUCGAAAAAGUCAAUAUAAGGAAUAUUUUGAGAAUAUUCCUACAUUGAGCCUAUUUCAUAAAUGGGUCGGGCUAGAACAGUUUGGGUAUAAGAUUUGGGCUGGGUUUGGGCUUAAGCCCUUUUUUUCUCAACCGGGUUAGGUUGGCCCGUUUGGGCUUGCAGGUUGCCGAACCUAACGAAAAAGAAGGCCGGAUUCGUAUGAUUUGGCCUGGAAACUUCCCGAGCUCCGAUUUGGGUUUGAAACUUAAUCGUUUUCAACGAUUCAAAAACAAAAAUGAAGCUAAAGACGUAAGGAAUAAGAAUAUGCCAUCGUGGUCUCUCGCCGUUGCCGGAAAAAAGUCUGCAACCUCGCGGUCCUUCACUAGAAACUGGGGAAAGUAUCCCUAUCGUGGUUUCAAUCCUUAAAUCCUACAAACAUAAACCCGUAUCUUCAAGAUCUUUCACAAAUGAAGAGAAAGGAUAAGAGAGAGGGAUUCUCUUGUCGUGAAAUCUUGUCGAGAAAUAUGGCAACGGUGGUUGCCAUUUUUGCUUCUGUGCAGCGAGCACAGUAUCAAGAAAAGGGAGAGUGUGUUUGAGAGAAGUAAGGAGGAUGAAGGUGGUUUGGUGGGUGCGGUGUGGUGAGGUUCGCUGGAGCGCCGACGACGUGAUGGUGUUGUCGGCAAUGCAGAGGAGAGACUCGGGAGAGACAUAAGGGAAAAGUGAGGGAGAAGAGAGAUCCAAAUUGUGGGAGAGGAAUUGCCACUUGGCAAAAGGAGAGUGGAGAGUUGUGACGUGUGGGCCCCAUGGUCAGAAAUAUAGUUAAAAUGAUAAAAUAUUCUUUUUUUAAAAAAUAUUAAAAUGAUGAUAUAAUAAUAUAACAGUUUGAAUAAAUAUAUAAAAUAUAAUAUAAUAAUUUUGUUUACGAAAGUAUUUUUCAGAUUCGUAGUUCCGUAAAAUCUUCUUCGUAACUUCGAAUUCGAUUCCGUUUGUGCCUACAUGUUCAUACCGUUGAGUACUUCGAUAAUACAAUAGAAUAGUAACUCAUACGUGUCACGAAAUAAUGGUCUACAAAAGUCAAUAACCUCGCCUCUAGGGGCACUUUCGUCAAUUCACUCUUUUAAAAUUAGUAAACUCCUAAAAUUAGGGACGGGUUGUUACAAAACCAAACCGAUCAAAACUGAAAGAAAAUUGAACCGAAUCAAAGUUUUGGUUCGUUUUUGGUUUUGGCAAAAAACCAAACUAAAUGAAACCGAACCCACCCCAUGAUUACCGAUAUUUGCAAAUAUUGAAUUGUUCUGGUAAUCAUUAGGAUAUUUUCCUUGAUCAACUGUUGGAUUUGAACCAUCCUCUUUUUUCUAGUAUAGUCUAGCAGAAAUAUUGCUUUCACAAAAAAAAGAUAUUUAUGCAAGUUAAGAUGUCAAUAUUGGAUAGACUUUUUUUUUUCUUUUUUCUUUUUGUUGUCAAAUUGAUAAUCAAGUUUUUUUAUUUUUUUUUAGUACAUCAAUAAUCAAGUGCAUGUCUAAGAGAAAAAGAAAAAGAGGAAGAAACCAUCAAAGCCAUGAAUUAGUAUAAGGCUUUGCAUCCCUAUAAUAAGGGGGAUUUUAAGUUCUCCAUUAUAAUUAAGGAAAACUAAUAAAAAUGACUUAAAAAUUUUAAAUUUUAACGAUAAGGAUAAAAUAAAUAAUAAAGAAAAUAGUACCAUAAUUAAUUUUUUAGUAUAAAAAUAUGAUUUUUCAACAUACAUCAUAAUUAAUAAUGGUAAGCACACAUGCUCUACUACAAUAAGGUAAGGUGGGGGUGGGGCGGGGCAAUAGGACGCUUCUAAGCAAAUACACAAGUCACGAGAAUAUUCCCACUAUAGAUUGGAUGCAUUAUUAAUGGACAUAACACAUUUAGCAGGGGACAAGUUUUAUUUGGACCACACAUUUUAAGAUUCUACAAAGGUAGUUUGGAGUGGUGGGCAAAUAAUUUAGGUUAAAAUAAUUGUGAUAUUUUUGGCACUUGAACUUAAAAAUAUAUAGUGCUGCCUAUGAUGGACAAUCGUUAUGAUGUGGCGGUUUACCAGUUAGGUAAUUGCUUAAACGGUUAUACAUAUACCCAUAAUUAUUUAUAAACGGUUAACCAUACUCAUAAUUGCAUGCUCAUUUAACCGAAACUGUUUGAUACAUGUUUACCCAUUUACCCUUUUUAACCCAUUUUUUUUUACCAUUACCCCUUUUUCACCCGUCUACAUGUUUUUUAACAUCUUGAAAAUUAAAAAAAAAUUGUCAUAAAUUUUUUUUUUGACAAUUAAACACCGUUAUCGGUACAUUCAUCAUACAUUUCCGUAUUUUAAUGUUUUAAGUCCUUAUACUAUUUCAAUAAUUGAAAUAAUAGUUUACGGAUGAUAUUUUUAACUGUUACUAAUGAAAGUAAUAUAAUAUUUGCUAAGUAUUCUUAGGUUACGAAAAUUGUUUAGAAGACAUUAUAAUUAGCUACAGAAACCAUGCACUAUAGUCAAUAGCAUUGAUCUAAGUUUUGUCUGAUAGAGAACAUGGUUUGUGUUAAUUUUACAUAUGUAAAAUAAAUGGGGUAAAUGGUUACCCGUUUAUAACAGCGGUUAAUACUCAUAACCACCAAUUUAAAUUUUAUGGGUAAACGGUUAUAUCCAUAAUCGUUUAUUUAUCUAAACGGUUAUCUAUAAUCAUAACCGUGAAGUUUAAAAGAACGGCAAACUGAGGUUACCCAUAACCGCAAGUAUUUUGCCCGUCCCUAGUGCUGCCUACUCUACUAUGUAAUUGGAUGUUAAGUUAGGCAAACAAACAUGGUUAAAAAAAAUAAAUAGAUGAUAUUUCUUUAGUGAUACUGAAACUGGAUGAUUAAAAAAUUUGUGAUAUUGUUGGCGCUACCACAUAAACCAUUAAUGUUUAUUUAACCUUAUUUAAUGGACACCAAGUAGACUGGCAAUUGGAUCGUGUUUGAGUCAUCUAACCACGGAUCAUGAUCCUCUCCUGAGCUAAGGGUGAGGAUCCUCCUGAGUAAGCCUAUCAAAUCGUUCAAAUUUUAUCAAGUGGUUACAACUAUUAUAACUUUUAGAGGUAUGCGUUGUUUAUAGCUGUUGGAUAAAAUUUGAACGGUCCAAUAGGUUUGCUCAUGACGAUCCUCAUCCAUAGCUUAGGAUGAUCACCCAUAGCUUAGAAGAGGAUCUUGAUCCAUCUAUUUAUAUUACAUAUCAUCUAAUUACAUCACGUGUCGAUUCAUGAGUUGAUGAGCAUAAAAAUUGAAUUAGACUUACUAUAUAAUAAUACAAUAACUCAUAUUGUUUAUUGCGAUGGUGAAAGUCAUCAUACUACCUUUCUACACGUGCAAGCUCUUGCGCUCGAGCUCUUGCACGUACAUAAUUUUUUUUCCCUUGCACAUCUCUUUCCCUUUUCACAUUUGCACAUGCAGAAAAUAUUUUUAUAAAUACGACAACGCCCUAUGGACGAUUAUACAAAAUUUUAAUUUUAGUUUUUACAUUUGUACAUUUAUCUCUUAUAAUUUAGGAAAAAUCUCAUAUUUUCAUGAGAGAGACAAACGUUUAAAUAAAAGAUACAAAUAUAGAGAAUUACUGAAAACUUGAUUGUGUAUUUGAAGAGAUAUAAACACAUGUUCUAAAAGACGUUAAGAACUAGUAAGGCAGUGCCCAGUAUCUAGGCGGAUUUAAAUAUAUUUUAUUAUAAUAUUGUACAAAUGAUAUUAUCUCCAGGGAGUGAGCUAAGCCUCACAAUGAGCUAUUAAUAAUAUAGUUCAAAUUCGCUUUUGGCAAAAAUCGAACCUAAGACACAUCACUUACAAGUGAAAAUGAAUACCACUAAAUCAGAAUACUAAGUGGCAACACAUGUUACCAGUUUUAUUUCUUCUAUUUUUUUUUUCCAAUUUAUGGUUUUACUAUGUUAGUCCUCACUAUUUUAGUUUGUUCAUUUUUCAAUUGCCUGUAAAUAAAGGGCAUUUUUGAAAUUUCAGAAAAUUAAUAAUAUAGACAAUAUCAUGGUCCGACUUAAAAAAAUAUAGGUUAAAAUGCAUGGGAUUUAGCUUAUUUAUUUGGUAUCAUAUGUCGUUGUCUAUCCCACUUAAUUUAUGGCAUCGUCACGGGUCGGUACAUGGUAAGAGCACCACACAACCUACAAUAUUUUGGCCGGCAGGGCAAGAUGGGUUCACCAUUUACUGUUGGCCAACAGUUAUGUGGUGGUGGUGGUCGGCUGUGUUAAAGAAGACAAACAAAUGGGCGGAUCCAGUUGGUGAUGUAUCAUGCAUGUGUGGCACGUGAUUUAAGGGCGAACUUUUUUUCCCUUCACUUUUUGGAGGAGAGGAAGAAAACGCACGAUUUGAUUGACGGAUAACGAGUAUCAUAAAAAAUGAAAAAAGAAUGAAAAAAAAAAGAAUGAACAAUAAUCGAAAUUUAGGAUGAGCCAAUUUAAUUAAUUUAUACACAUGUACAUGUGCUUAUGUUCUUCUCCUUUGUUCUUCUCUCUUCUCCCUCCAUUGUUCCUAAUUGUGUGUGUAAGUGAUUGAAUAAAAAGAAAUUACAUUUCCUAUUAGGUUUUAAGUCAAGUAAGUCAAUUCUAAUAAGCCUCCAAAGAAAAAGUAGAAGGUUAUCUAAUCUUAAAUAUUUAUUAAUAAAAUUUGAAGGUUAUCUAAUCUAAAAUACUUAUUAAUAAAUUUUUCUUUGUCAACUAAAAGAUGGUGAAAAAACAAUCUGGUCUUAUAUCACAACUAAAACAAUAGGCAAUAAUCACUGUUCUAAAAAUCUCCGUCUAAGCCCCGCCUAGGCGCUAGGCUGUUGACCACCGUCCCGAUUAAUGCCUAGACGUUUGAAAAUUAAGAAAUGACGCCUAGAUCUGCUGAGGCGCCCACCUAGAACGCCUGAGCACUCGCUUAACCCGUCCAGACCCGGCUAGGCACCUGCUUAGGUCAGGCUCACUUAGACAGAAAAUAGAUAACUUUCAAUUUGCAUUUUAUUUAUUUUUUCAAUAAAUUGUAAGAGACUUGUUGCAUACUUAAAUGAACACACAUUAUAUCCUUGUUCCCCAUGUUCCGCCUAGUCUGCCUAGGUGCCCACCUAGACCCCACCUAGUCGCUUAGGCACUAGGCCCCAAUCCACCGCACGACUAGCGCUUAGCGUCUUUUAGAACCUUGGCAGUAAUGUAAUUUCGCACUAUCAAAAUUUUCUAUUUUUUUUCUUCCGUCACCCAUAUGUUAGCAUAUAUCUAAUUUAAAAAAAAUAUAAUCAUAAAUUUCUCUCUCUCUCUCUCUCUCUCUCUCUCUCUCUCUCACACACACACACACACACACACACACUCCCUCAUUCUUUAACAUUUCUCUUCUCUUCAACUUCUCUCUCAACCAUAUAUUUUUCAAAAAGAAAAAUAACAAAAAACUUGCUUCCCAUAAAAAUAUGCGGGUUUAAGCUAGGACUAGUAUAUGCCCACACACAAAGUGUGUGUGAAACUUUUUAUUUUGUUUUUAAAAUUGAAGGAUAGAGGAAGAAGUGAGAGAGAAUGUGGGAGUGUGAUGCAGGGCGCAACGGACAAAAAAGGAUUAAAAUGAUAGAUAGAAUGGAUAGGUAGGGUCCACUAUCUCAUAGUGCAAGGAGAAACAUGAGAACCCUAUAAACUUUAGUUCUAGUACCAAUAUGUGACGUAGACACUAGAAACAAAAGCUGAACAAUCUCACAAAGAGAAAGGCACAAAACUGAAACAAAGAAACACUCUGAGUAUUUUCAUUAAUUAAAAAAAGUCUAACUCCCCCAUCUUACAGAAAGAGGUGGUAUUUAUAACUAUUUUGUAACAUACAUUCAGAAUAAAAAGGCAAUAAACUUAAAACGACAAAAAAACUAAAAAUUACAUAAAGAAAGUAAUCCAAUCAGCCAAAAAAGGUCCAAAACGCCCUGACCAUUAUUAGAAGCUACUAAUGGCUGUUAUUAAGUUCUUCGGAUUGGUUAUAGUCAUUCAUUUUAUCCCAAUGAUUCAAUAAAUGCACUGGCCAACUGAUCUGCAUCAUCCUCUCCAGGUUGGAGAAAAUUCACCCUCAAAUUUGCAUUUCCAGUAUCGUCGAUGUCCCCUCUGUAUGGAAUGAGAUGUUUCACAUUGAACACAUCAAAUAUGGCUUGGUAACUUUAGUGUCACGAUUGAAACAAUCGAACUUGGUACCAAGAAGUUGGUACACUCCACAAAAGAAUGGCUUAGCAACUUCUGAAGCAUAUGUUGUCUUCUUGCAGGCAAUAAGGUAAGCCAUUUUGAAAAAUCGAUCCACCAUAACAAAAAUUGAGUUUACACCAUGCUGAGUACGAGGCAAACCCAAAACAAAAUCCAUGCUCAUAUCCACCCAUGGUUGUGAUGGAAUAGGUAAUGGCAUGUACAAUGCAAUGUUCGUUGCCUUGCCCUUAGAAACUUGACAGCUUCGACAUUGUUCCACAAAACAAUAUACAUCUUUGCGCAUGGCAGGCCAUAAAUGAGAAAAAGCACUAGUGUAAAGGUUUUUCCUUUCCCACAUGGCCAUCGUUAUGUAACUCUUGUAUGAUUUGCAACCUUAAACCAGACUCAAGUGUACAAAGUUGAUUCCCUUUAAAGAGAAACCUAUCAUGCUUCUUGAAUAAACUUGUCCCCGAGUUUUGUUUGGUCUUCCUUUAUCUUUCAGAUACCCAACAAAUACUUGCCACAAUAGCCAAUUAAGAACCACAAAUUCAGCAUGCAUCAACAUAUCCAAAUAGUACAAAAUUCCAAAUAAUUUCAUUCUUCUCCACUUUCUCAUGUUCUACUUGGAAUUUAAUAUUUUCUUGAUGACAUAAAUUGCAUUCUAGUGCACAUACAAUUUCCAGCAAACAUCUUGAUAUUUUUUACUUUGAAAAAUGUAGACAUAAUUUGAACAAUGUGAAAAAUUUCUUUUCUCGAAGUAAAAUUUUGUAGCAUGACAAGCAAUGAACAAUUCCCAAACAUAAUCAUAAAAGUUAUAGAAAUGUAGAACAGAUUUUACCUCAAUACCUCAACCAUUGAACCCAAAUCUUCAUCACCAUUGCAUUCAUCUAGAAUUAGGGCAGAAUCCUAAUUGACAACACAAUGAGCUUCGAUUUGCAGAGUAAAUUGAAUUUCAUUAGCUACUUUAAUCACAAGCAUGUAAUCUUCAUCAAAUUCAUCAUAAAUUGGUAGAUAAUUCCAAUCAGCUAAAAUAUUGAUUUCGUAAAACCUAACAAUAGCAAUAUGAUAACCCAAGAAUCGAUUAGGGCUCUGAUACCAACUAAUGUAGCGCACAGUGGACAAAAAUGAAUUAAAAUGAUAGAUAAAAUGGGUAGGUAGGGUCCAAUAUCUCCUAGUGCAAUGAGAGACCUAAAAACCCUAUAAAAUUUAGUUCUAGUACACUACUACAAAAUUACCUAUAACUGGCGGUUCAAAAACCGACAAGAAAACAUAAUUUAUAUUGGAUAUUUGGUAAAAAUCCAACAAAAACUCAUGCAAUGUCAGAUAAUAGAACCGACACCAAUGCUAAGGUCACGAAAAAGCUUUUGAUGUUGGUUAGUCCCCUUAAUCCACCCUGAAGAAGGAAAGCAAUGUAAAAUACAAAAGGAUAGUAGCAUCGGUUAAAAGUGACAUCGAGGCUCACGUCGGAUACAUGCGAUAUUAAGUAUUGACAAAGACUGUCGGAUGGAGCAGACUGAUGUCUGUCUUAACUAACACCACCUAACGAACAAUACGACCAACAAAGAAUUGGAGGCCAGCUUUAAUUGACUUGGACACCGACUUCUUCCUUUCCCCGCCUUUUCUUUUGCUGGAGUCCUUGGUGGCUUUCGUGGCUUCCAUUCUCCCUGAGUUUUUGGGGAAAUGAAAACGAUUAGUUUAAGAGGGAAAACAAAUUGUUGAGAACUGAGAUGCACUCGGAUUUGAAUUUUGGUCUGGAACGGUUUGGUGCGUGGUGUUAUUCACUUCGAUGAGACAUGACUUCGUUGGAUUUCCUUGCUGGUUUUCAGGGAAUAAUAACACCUAUACAUGCAGAGGCUUAAUCCUUCAAAUCUCUCUCAUUUUCAGUAAUUUUCCCUACUAAAAGCUUAUAAGCUUACCUAGAACACCAGAAUAAACAAUUUUGAGCUGAAACUAGCUCAAGUUUGAGGAGACCUCGUCAGAUUCCAUCAUCGGAACUGGAGAGGUUGCACAGAAAGGUUGUAAGGGUUAACACUUAACACCUUACCUAGGGUUGAAGAUUGGCGAUUGGGGUUCCUCUCGAAUUUCAUCGGGGUUGUUGGAGACACACACAUUGAAGACCUUAAAUCCAACAUGCAGAAUGAGGAAACUCUUACCUCAAAUUAGAAGGAGUUAAGCGCCAGCUCGAUUGAUAGUAAGUUUGUCGGAUUUCUCGAGAAAUACACUUGAGAACCCACAUAGCACAGAAGCUCAAGUUUGAUAUGUUCCAGACCAUGGAUCAUGCAUGCAAGGCUCUUGAGCAGAUCCCCUAGUUACUGUGGUGCUAAAUUCGUGGUUUGGGGUUCUAAUUUUGGCUGGGUUCUAAAGUAGUGAUGAUGAUGCUCUCGGUUACUAGAGAGAAAGCUGCAGAGUAUUAUUGAGAAAAGAGUUAGAGAGAGAGUGAUCUAGAGAGAAAUCACGGGGGUGGGAAGAAAAACAAUGGGCCAGUUUACAAACAUAGUAGUGGGUCCCUCACCUAAAUUUUUAAAAACAGGUUGUUACAGUCUAGUGGGGUUUGCCAUGUUGGCGAUCCAAGUGCUUUUGGGGUGGCCGAUUGAAUUGGUUUCAAGUUAUUUAAAAAUAAUUAUUAGUGUCGGCUACAACCAACGCCGGGUUUUAAAAUAUUUAAAAAUGAUUAUUAGUGUCAGGUAGAAGCGACACAAAUUUUUUUAACCAACACUAACUUUAUGUCGGUUGAAAGCAACACAUUUUUCUUUUUAUACGACAUCACCAUUUAGAAGAUUAAAAGCUAUGUCAGUUAUAAGCGACAUAGACAAUUUAUGUUGGUUAUAUUCGACACUAUGUAAAGAGGGUGUUGGAAAUGUGUUAUCCGCUAGUAUAUUAUAUAAAACCGACACCAACCACCGAUACAAUAAGCCACUUUUGUAGUAGUGGUACCAGCUUACGACGUAGACAUUAGAAACAAAAGCUGAACAAUCUCACAAAGAGAAAGACACAAAACUGAAACAGAGAAACAUUAUGAGUAUUUUCAUUAAUAAAAAAACAUCUGACUCCCCCAUCUUACAGGAAAAGGUAGUAUUUAUAACCAUUUUGUAACAUACGUUCAUAAAUUAAAAAGGCAAUAAACUUAAAAUGACAAAAAACUGAAAGUUACAUAAAGAAAGUAAUCCACUCAGCCAAAAAAUGUCCAAAACGCCCUGGCUAUUAUUAGGAGCUACUAGUGGUUGUUAUUAAGUUCUUUUGACUGGUUAUAGUCAUUCAUUUUAUCCCAGUGAUUCAAUAAAUGCACUGACCAACUGAUCUGCAUUAGAGUGGGGAAAGAGAGAGAGGAAGAGAGGUUUAUUUUUUAUUUAUUUAUUUUAAUUAGAGAUGUUAAAAUCACUUGUAGGUGAGCCUUAAACCAAAAACAACAAAAUUUUAUUUUGUAAAAUUACGUUACUACUCUCAACUUUUUUUGUUAAAUAAUCUUUUCACCCUCUUUUAGUUAACAAAGAGAAUUCUAUUAAUAUGUAGUUUAGAGAUUAUAAUCACAAAGUUAUAUCAAAUGUACAAAACAUCUUUUAUCAUCAUAUAAUUUCAUAUCAGUCUUUUUAACAAAAACAUUGGGAUAUUGUUGGCAACGAUGUAUGCAAUGGCGUCCGGGCAUUCCUCUCAUCGGGAAGAAUGUUGAAAAAGAUCAAUUACACUCAUGUUACUCUUAUUCCGAAGAAUAAAGAUCCGACAGUGAUGACAUAGUUACGUCCGAUUAGCUUAUGCAAUGUCAUUUACACAAUUUGCUCUAAAGUUUUAACCAAUAAACUAAAAAGGGUGAUUCCGGAGAUUGUUUCUACUAAUCAAAGAGCUUUUGUGCUGGGGAGAUUGAUUUUGGAUAAUAGCUUGGUAGCUUCGGAAAUUGCUUAUUAUAUGAAUAACAAGUAUUUUGGAUGGGAUGGAGUGAUGACAUUGAAACUGGAUAUAAGUAAGGCGUACGACCGUAUCGAAUGGGGUUUCCUGAAAAAGUUGGGCUUUGCGGACAGGUGGAUUAAUUUGAUGAUGGCGUGUGUGUCUACCGUUUCAUACUCGUUUAAGGUAAAUGGUGAGCCAGUGGGACAUGUUCACUUGAAGCAGGGGAUUCGACAAGGUGACCCUUUUACUCUGUUUCUCUUUGUGUUAUGUGCGGAAGGUCUUUCGGCUCUUUUCGAUGCUUGGGAGAAGCAGGGACGGAUUAGAGGGGUCAAAGUGUGUAAGGGCACUCCGGUUGUGAAUCAUCUUUUGUUUGCGGAUGACAGUUUCAUUUUCGCCAGGGGGCACAAUUCAGGAAUGCCUACAGGUGAAACAUUUGUUGAAAACAUAUGAAGAUGUAUCAGGACAAGCUAUUAAUUAUGCUAAGAGUUGUGUAGCUUUCGGUGGAAAAUUGACCGAGUAUGAUGGACAGUUGUUGGCGGAUUGCUUGGGUAUGCUGCAGGUAAUUUUCCAUGAUCGCUAUCUUGGCUUACUGGUUCUUGUGGGAAAAUCGAAGAAGGAUACGUUCGCAUACAUUAAAGAUCGAUUGUGGAAAAAAAUUAAAUGGUUGGAAAGGAAGCCUUCCGAGUAGUGCCGGGAAAGAGAUAUUGAUAAAAACUGUAGCCCAAGUUGUACCCCUAUACACCAUGCAAACCUUCUUGCUACCAAAAAUUUUCUGCGAUGAGUUAAAUCAAAUGGUCGCACAAUUUUGAUGGGGAAAGGAACAAGGGAAGCGAAGGAUACAUUGGAUUUGGUGGAAAAAGUUAUGUAAACCAAAGGGAGAGAGUGGUCUUGGCUUUAAGGAUAUCUAUGCCUUUAAUCUAGCUUUGUUCGCAAAGCAAUGGUGGCGAUUGAUACACGAACAAUUCUCUCUAGCAUCCCAAAUUUUUAAAGCCAAAUAUUAUCUACAAACUGAUUUUCUUUCGUUACUAGUGAAGACAAGUUCAUCUUAUGGUUGGAGAAGUAGAGCAGAAGCCCGCAAAGUAAUUAAGGCUGGAGCUCAAUGGAGAGUGGGGGAUGGUGCUUCUAUUAAAAUUUGGUGUGAUAGUUGGUUGCCAAGGGAAACUUUCUUCAAAGUUCUUAACCCUAUACCUAUGAGAAUGAAUCAGUCCACUACGGUGGAGAAGUUGAUCUCGGUGGAGGGAAGGAUUGCAUGGAACAUGGAAGUGGUAAAUAGUAUUUUUUUUUGGUGGAGGAAGCUCGAUUGAUUCAGACCAUACCACUUAGUAUCACUCAGACACCGGAUGUUUUAAUCUGGUCCACAUAGUCGAAUGGGAAGUUUACAAUGAAAAGUGCCUUUUUUUUCGCUCGGAUUAGUGGAGAAGUCAAUGGACAAGAAAGUAGUGGUUCUUCGAUUACACUUAAGAUGAAUUUUUGUGGAAGUCUUUGUGGAGAGCUCGGGUACCUGAGAAAGUAAAGAUUUGUGUGUGGUGAUGUUGUAUGAAUGCAUUACCAACACGGGGACAAUCUAAAAAUAAAGAAAAUCACUACAGAUGCUACUUGUAUGUUCUGUAACGGCGAAGAAGAAACCUUGGUGCAUUUGAUGAGGAAUUGUCCUAGAAUGGCUUCAAUUUGGUUAAUAAGCCCGUUGGGUCUACGAAGUAGAAUAGACAAUAGGGGACAUUUGGUGGAUUGGUUCACAAGACUGGCUAGUGAUUUAUCAAGAGAAAGCUUGGAUUUGUUACUUGUGAUUAUUUGGAGCAUUUGGAAGGAACAGAACUCGUUUUUAUGGCAGGGAAAGGCGCUUGAAUUGUUGGAGUUGGUUUCCAGAGCACAAAGUUGGUUACAGGAAUUCCAACGAUGGCAUGAGAAUAAUCAAACACGCAGCAGCAACGAACCAAAGAAAUGGAAGAAAUUGGAAUUGAGCUGGGUAAAAUGUAACUUUGAUGCGGCCUGGGAUGAACAACAUGAGGUAGGUGGUGUUGGGGUGGUGAUUCGAAAUGAGAAGGGGGAGUUUAUAGUAGCAAAGGUGACACAACACACUGCCAUUUUCUCCUCGCAACUGGCUGAGAUGAUGGCAGCAAGGGACACGACUAUGUUUGUCAAGGAGUGGCAAUUCCUAGCUUUGGUUCUUGAAGGUGAUGCAUUGCUUGUGAUGGCAAGACUAAAAAAUGAAGGAAGUGAUGACAACUCACAUUUUGGAAACAUUCUACAUGACACGCGUUCAAUUGUUCAUUCAUUGCCAAAGUGGAAGGGAGACGAACAAGGUGGCACACAGGCUAGCACGUAUGAGCUUGAGUUAUGGUAACACUGUGACUUGGUUUGAGGAACCCCCUGAUGUAAUUCUUGAUCUUCUCUUUGAGGAUAGUAAUUCCUAAUUAAUUAUGUUGGUGCGGGACACUUUUUUUUCCCUUCAACCGGAUUGAAAAUCCUAGCAAGAUUUUUAUCGAGGCUCUCUGUUAGUACCCUAUCCUCAUUGAUGUACGUAUCCAUUUCUUAUUAACGAAUAUCAUACCUUUUCAAAAAAAAAAAAAAAAAAAAAAAGCCACCAAUCACGAUACGUAUAUAAUCAAGUUUUCUAUAUAGCCAUAUAGGUCAACGGGGGUUUCUGAUAGGUAAAACCACAAAUCAAAUGUUAUUUAUUGCCAAUGAAAAGGGCCACCAUACGAAUAUUUAUCCGAGUGAUGACCGUUGCAUGAAGAAAUAUGCAAAGAAAGGUAUGGGUUGCCAUCCCAUCCCAGUCUCUUAGCAUUAACAAAUUAACUUCUGAUACGUAACAUCUUCGCUUUCUUCUUAUAAAUAUAUCCUUUCGUUUUCUCCCUUCGAUAUCAUUUGGGGGAUCAAUCGAAUUCAUAAGCAACUUUUCUUUUUGGCUUUUCUUAUGAACUUAUUACAUCUUCAAAGGGAUAAGAUCAUGCCAUCUUAUCCAAUCCAUUUUACAACUAACCCAAAUAUAUUCUUUCCCUUUAUUCUAGUAUAAUUUAUGAUGACUCACAUGAUUAUACAUUUGGUAGUAAACUUUUAUAUUGGUAAAUAUGUAAUUGGUUUCGUUAGAUUUCAAUAUUGAUUAAUUAUCCUCAUGAAUAAUGUGACAAACUCAAUAUAAAAGAUAGAUUCAAAGACGGUGUUGAGCCGUGUAAGCGGUUCAACGGCAGAAAGCUCCCAAUUAUAGGCACCCCACCCCCAAGAUUUUCAUCCUCUUAUAUUUCAUAUGAACAUAUUAAGUAGAAAUUGUGAUUGUUUAUUGAAUUUGGCUUGAUUACAUUGUCCAAAAAAAUCUUAAAAUGCUAUCUUAAGGAAGCAGUAAGUCUUCAGUAGUUUAGACUGCGGGGUAGCUUGGCUUUAUAUUCAUUAGAUUGACAGGUAAAUAAAAAUAGUAUUUUCUUAAUUCAAUCAUGACCAUUCAUUUCUUGCAUUCUGAGUAGUCCGGACUAUUAGAGAAAAAUUACUUAAGAAGUGCUCUAUUAUAAAUUUGCACAAAAUCUCCGAAAUGUUAGAGACAGCUUCGGAUAAGUUGGUGCUUAUAUAAAUUCAUAUAUCUACACACACACACGCGCACACAUAGUUCUUUCAAUAACCACAUGAUUGUCUAUCUAGGGUAGGUGACAUCUACCAAAUUGAUUGAUGAAGGAAGACAAGAAAUAAAGGGAGGCAUCACUAGUGCAGGUUGGUCUAGCAAGACAGCUAGCAUAUAACCUAAGCUAAGCUAAGCAAACAAAAUAUGUGAACAAAAACGGCCAAGUCGCAGUCUCGAUCGGCAUAAAUUCAUGCAAAUUGCAAUGCAAGAGUCUAAACUAGGUCCAUGCACUUGGACUCGCUCAUUAUUCGAUUCCAAAAUUGUCUUACAAUUCAAGGGGACAAACAAUGCAUACGACAAGUCCAUAUGGACCAGCUUUGGCUCUAUCAUUGGCUGCUGACAUAAUAAUUCUCUAUCUCUAUCUUGACAAUAACUUAAAUAACACGGAUACACUUAACGUGAUGUCUGUGCUAAAAUCACAAAGAUAUUUGAAUAGAAACUUAUGGAUGUUUUUAUUUCAUUAGCUUGAAACUCCAUCCAAUGGUAUACGCGUAACAUGCAAGUUCUUCUCGUAUAUCUAGACCUCAGUCACUCUCAUGCACGACCGCGCAUGCAUGAAUGCCGACCCGUUUUUGUGUCCACUACUUGGAAAUAUUCAAACUUUUAUUUCUUGUGGACAUGGCUUAAUUUUCUACUACUUGUUAUGUAUUUGGUUUUGUUUGGCGGGGAGAUUGGUACAAAUAUAUAAUUGGUCAUGGUGCCGUGCCUGGACAGGCUUUUAUUUAUUUAUUUUCUUUAGUUUCAUAUACGGGAAAGUUUGCUUGUAAUGUUUAAAGCUCUAAUAUGUUGGAUGCGAACUUGUUUCUAUUGAAAGUAUGUAAAUAGUAAGUACCCUAUAAAUAACACUUGGCUAAAUAAGAGCAUGGGACAAUUGUAACUUCAUGAAAACGUCAGUUGGUAUACAUAAGUAUAAGAAGUAAUAACUAAGAAACUUCAAGUAUUUGACAAGCCACUUUAGAUCCGUAUUACAUUUAAAAUGACGAAAAAUUAUUGAGUGGCACAGAAACAUAUAAUUAAUACAUAUUAUGGUACUGGUGUAUGAUCAAUCAAGUUUAUAAUUUGUGGUAUAGUAUUAAUAAAUAAAGCGUGUUAACACAUGAGUAUCAUGUGACACUAUUCAAGUAUCACGCUCAAGGUAAUAUUGUAACAAAUUUAUUUCAUUAAGAUUGAAAUAUGACUUAAGAUUUUGCUCAAUUUUUUUUCUUUGAAUUAUAAUUCCAAAGGUAAGAUAUUAGUAGUUACAAUUUAAGAAACUAGCGUUAUGGGUAUCCUCAAUGUAUUCUAUAAACAAUCUAUGUAUUAUGUUCGACGAAAGCUAUAAGUACUAGGAAAAAAAUCUAAUCCUUUUAUAUUGCCCCUUUUUUCUUGUGUUAGGUUCAAAUGACGCCAUAUUAAUUUAAAUACUCUUGAGUUUAUUCCUCCUAUUACCAAUUAAUUUUAGAAUUGUAUCCUCACAUCUAAUAAUAACAAAGAAGAAUCUCAUUACAAGAGAGUUGUAAGUGAUCAAAUUGUUAAGUGCAUACUCGAGGAAGGUCCUAUGUUCGGUUCUUCCUCUUUCUCUAAUAUCAUUCAUAUUAAAAAAUAAUCUCAAUUAGUGGUGUCUUUGUUUCCACCAAACACACCAACCGAUAAUACUCAUGAUAAUCAGCGCAGGGAAGUGCAUUGGCAAAGGUAUGCCACUUCUUCUUAGAUCCCAACUUGAAACGUCGAAGCAUCUCUCCCUGAUUACCAGCUGUAUCAGUGUCAUAACGAGACAAAUCAGUAAACUUCCUAUAAUAUUCAUGUGCCGACAUAUUUCUCUGUUUCAACCUAGUGAAUUCCUGCUUCUUACGGUCAAUAUACUCAGGAGGGACAAAUCUCUUCAUAAAAUGCUCUUUAAACACUUUCCAGUCGGCUGCCGUCUCAGGUGACAUGUACCUAGCCUGAUUCAUCCACCAUGCUGCUGGUUCUCGACCCAAAAACCAAGUGGUGGUCUCCACCCACCUAUUAGCAGGGAGAUUCCCCUGACUCUGCAUCACCUGGAAGGUUUUCUCAAUAUGAUCUUCCUGACAGUGAGGAUGACGAGGACAAGAAUGAGGGUCAGAAGAAGAAUGAUAAGGGUAAGGGUAUUUCUAUUCCUGGACCUCGACAGACACAGAGUUUUAAGAAGAGUGGAGCGAGUUCGAGUUCUUCUAGUGGGGGAUAUAGUUUUACUGGCCCGAGGAGAGGUGGUGGAAGAUUUUAUGGUGGACCCAGAUUUCAGGGUCAGAGGGAUGCUGGUGGAUCUGGCGCUCCAUGGUGCCGCCGUUGUAACUCCCGUCACCAUGGUGAGUGUAGGAGAGGUACUGGUGCCUGCUUUACGUGUGGGCAGAUGGGACAUCGGGCUUCUCAGUGCCCCCAGGGUCAGCAGAGACCACAGCAGACCACUAUACCACCUCCAGCACCAGUUCAGCAGAGUUUUGGACCGGGUGGUUAUGGCCAGCCGAGUCGUGGUAGUGCCUACCACUAUCAGGGGGAUGCUGCUCCGUAUGCUCUCGGAUCUUAUCAGUAUUCCCAGGAGCCUCACUCUCAGGCUGGGUAUUCUCAGGAUUUUGGAGGUUAUUCAUCUUAUUCCUCUAUGCCAACUGGUGGAUCGCAGUGGCAUCAGGGAGGCCAGCCCCGUCAGGGGGAAAUUGCUACUGGUGGUGCAUGAUCAUCCAGGCAGCCUAGUCAGCCAGGCCAGGGACGUAAUCCUCAGGGACGAGGUAAUCAGGGCAAUAGAGGCCGAGGUGGACGUCAGCAAGCUCAGGGGCGAGUUAAUCAUAUUUCCCUGCAGGAGGCCCAGAACCAUCCAGACUUGAUUAUGGGUACGUUGAAUGUUCUUGGUCAUUUUGCUAAGGUUUUGAUUGAUUGUGGUGCUACGCACUCUGUGAUUUCUCAUACGUUUGCUCAAAUAACCCAACCUCACCCCUCACCUCUAGGAUUUGAUUUAGAGUUUGCCAUGCCUAGAGGAGAUAAAUGUUAUGUGGAUAUUGUGUAUCUUGGGUGUCCAGUGAUGGUUGAGGGCGUGAUUAUGUCCGCUGAUCUUAUUCCGUUAGAUAUUGUGGAUUUUGAUGUGAUUUUAGGAGCGGAUUGGUUACAUUAUAACCAUGCCCAUAUUGAUUGAUGGUAAAUCAGUUACUUUUUAUCGUCCUGGAUUACCCGAAGUUACUUUUGUGGGCGAGAGAAGCGGGGUGAGACAUGGGGUUAUUUCUGCCAUAAGGGCGAGGAAAUUGUUAUCGAAGGGUUGUCAGGGAUAUUUGGCACAUGUGGUGUUAAAUGAUGUGAUUCCCACUAGCAUAGAAGAAGUUGGUGUGGUCAGACAUUAUCCGGAUGUGUUUCCUGAUGAUUUGCCGGGAUUGCCACCAGACAGGGAGGUGGAAUUCGCUAUUGAUUUGUUUCCAGGUACGGAUCCUAUAUCUCUAACUCCUUAUAGAAUGGCUCCUGCUGAGUUGAGAGAAUUAAAAAUUCAGUUGCAAGAAUUACUUGAUAAAGGUUUUAUUCAGCCUAGUUCUUCACCUUGGGGUGCCCCAGUAUUAUUUGUGAGGAAGAAAGAUAGAACUUUGCGAUUGUGUAUUGAUUACAGGCAAUUGAACCGGGUAACGAUUAAAAACCGUUAUCCAUUGCCUCGCAUUGAUGAUUUGUUUGAUCAGCUGAAAGGUGCGUGUGUAUUUUCUAAGAUUGAUUUGAGAUCUGGGUAUUAUCAAUUGAAGAUUAAGGAAGAUGAUGUACCUAAGACGGCUUUCGGACUCGGUACGGGCAUUAUGAAUUUUUGGUUAUGCCAUUUGGGUUGACUAAUGCACCUGCAGCUUUUAUGAGAUUGAUGAAUGAGGUAUUCCAGAAAUAUCUUGAUAAAUUUGUUAUUGUUUUUAUUGAUGAUAUUCUGGUAUACUCUAAAUCCCAAUCAGAUCAUAUCCAACACCUUAAUUUGGUGUUAAGGAAAUUAAGGGAGCAUCAGUUGUAUGCAAAGUUCAGUAAAUGUCAGUUUUGGUUGACUGAAGUGGCAUUUUUGGGGCAUGUGGUAUCGGCUCAAGGAAUUCAAGUUGAUCCUCAAAAGAUUGCAGCGGUGGAGAAUUGGGAGCAACCUCGAACCGUCACGGAGGUACGAAGCUUUCUUGGGUUAGCAGGUUAUUAUCGACGGUUCGUCCAGGAUUUCUCUAUGAUUGCUUUACCGUUGACAAAGUUGACCAGGAAGGAUGUUAAAUUUGAGUGGGAUGAAAAUUGUGAGCGGAGUUUUCAGCAAUUGAAGUAUUGCCUCACCCAUGCACCGGUGUUGGUACUUCCUGAUGAUAGCGGUAAUUUUGAGAUCUACAGUGAUGCUUCUUUAAAUGAUUUGGGAUGUGUUUUGAUGCAGCAUAAUAAGGUGAUUGCCUAUGCUUCUAGGCAGUUGAAAAAUCAUGAAAGGAACUAUCCUACUCACGAUCUUGAAUUGGCAGCAAUUGUUUUUGCUUUGAAAAUUUGGAGGCAUUAUUUGUAUGGUGAGAAGUGUAAGAUCUUCACUGAUCAUAAGAGUCUUCAGUACUUAUUCACCCAGCAUGAUCUUAAUCUUCGUCAGCGAAGGUGGAUGGAAUUGCUAAGUGAUUAUGAUUGUACCAUUGAAUACCAUCCAGGUCGUGCUAAUGUGGUAGCAGAUGCUCUGAGUAGGAAACCUCAAGGCAGACUCAAUGCCUUAUAUGCUUGCCGUGUUCCUCUUCUUACUGAACUGAGGGCAACGAGAGUAAGGUUGGAGAUUGAAGACCCAAAUGGAGCCUUUCCUGCUAGUUUUCAAGUCAGGCCAGUUUUGGUGGACCGUAUACUUGCAGCUCAGAUGGUGGAUGAGGAAAUUCAGGAGUUGGUUCAGUUAAGAAGUGAGGGGAAAAAGAAAGACCUCAGAAUUCGGGAAUCAGAUGGUAUGCUCAUGCAAGAAAACAGAAUGUAUGUUCCGAAUAAUGAGGAAUUGAAGAAGGAAAUUCUGGAUGAAGCACACUGUUCCGCUUAUGCGAUGCAUCCCGGGGGAAAAAUGUAUCAUACCAUUCGACCAUUUUAUUAUUGGCCGGGUAUGAAAAGAGAAAUUGCAGAAUAUGUGAGUAGAUGCAUUAUUUGCCAGCAAGUGAAAGCAGAAAGAAAGAAGCCCUUUGGGCGAAUGCAACCACUUCCCGUUCCCCAGUGGAAAUGGGAAAAUAUAACUAUGGAUUUUGUGUAUAAACUUCCUCGUACACGAAAUGGAUUUGAUGGCAUUUGGGUGAUUGUGGAUCGACUUACUAAGUCAGCACAUUUUAUUCCGGUGAGGGAGAAAUACCCUCUAAAUAAAUUGGCUAAGUUGUUUAUCUCGAAGAUUGUAAAGUAUCAUGGAGUCCUAGUAAAUAUUAUCUCUGAUCGAGACCCGAGGUUUACUUCUAAAUUUUGGGUGGCUUUUCAAGAAGCUCUGGGUACUCAAUUAUUGUAUAGCACAUCUUAUCAUCCUCAAACUGAUGGGCAAUCAGAGAGGACCAUUCAGACGUUGGAGGAUAUGUUGAGAUCUUCAGUACUGCAAUUUGGUGAUUCUUGGCAUGAUCGUCUGUACUUAAUGGAGUUUGAUUAUAAUAAUAGUUUUCACUCGAGCAUUGGUAUGUCCCCAUUCGAGGCACUUUAUGGUAGGGCGUGUCGAACGCCAUUAUGUUGGUCUGAGGUUGGCGAACGGAUAUUAGAAGGCCCUGAGAUCGUAGAUGAGACGACUCAAAAUGUUCAGGUAAUUAAGUCAAACCUGAAAGCAGCCCAGGAUCGACAGAAGAGUUUAGCGGAUCGGCAUACUACUGAUCGAGUGUAUGAUGUGGGUGAUUUGGUAUUUUUGAAAUUGUCACCUUGGAGAGGUGUGGUACGAUUUGGGAAAAGAGGAAAGCUAAGUCCGAGAUACAUUGGACCUUAUGUGAUCAUUGAAAGAGUUGGUGAAGUUGCCUACCGGUUGGAACUGCCUCCGGGGUUAUCUAAGGUCCAUAAUGUGUUCCAUGUCUCUAUGCUUCGGCAUUAUAUUUCUGAUCCUUCUCAUGUGAUUCCUCCUCAACCGUUAGAGAUUAAUCCAGAUUUGACGUAUGAUGAGGAAGCGGUCACUAUAUUGGAUUGGAAGGAUAAAGUUCUAAGGAACAAGACGGUGAGUUUGGUGAAGGUAUUAUGGAGAAAUCAUUCUGUAGAGGAAGCUACUUGGGAGACGGAAGACCGGAUGAGAGAGAUGUACCCAAGAUUAUUCUACGAGUAUUGAUUUAUGAUUUGGUUAUGGGAAUUUCGGGGACGAAAUUCUAUAAGGAGGGGAGAUUGUCACAGCCCGUCUCGGAGGUACUUUUGGCGGGAAUAUGAAAGGACAAAAAUGCCCUUGUCAGGUAUCAAGGUAUGGGUGUAUUACGUUUUGAAAAUGCUUGGUCCCUAAACUUUUAAGAAGUUGUUUAAGUUAGAAAUAUUUUGGAAGUUGAUUUUAUAUUUUUGUGGUUAGGGACUUAAGAGAGAUUUUGGAUGGUGUGGAUUGGUUUGACCACACAAGAUCAGUCCCUUUCUCUCCUCCCUCUUGAUCACUCUCUCAGUCUCUCUCUCUCUGUCCCGACCUCACACCCAAACACACCCAUUGUACGGCACACACCCAAACCCUCCAAAAACUCGACGGAUCGAGGCAAAUAAGGUAUGUAUCUUCAUCGUUUUGACGUCCUGAGUUCAUUGGUACUAGUUUUAGGAAGUGAAACCUUCGAUUUCACCUAGAUCCCGAACCUCCAUUUUUGAGGUACUGUUCAUGCGAACGAAAAAUGUUGUGUUUCAGGAGAUUUCAAGCUUGUGGCGAGCUUUAGGAGGUCCUAAGGAAGCUCGGGGACGUUCGUUGGAGAGUUUUGGACAUCGGGAUCGUGGGUUUCAAGUUUGGCCGAAUCUUUGGUUUUUGCUAGGUGAGAUUUCGUAGUUUUUAGGCAAUAGUCCAAAGCAUCUCUCUUGAAAAACUAAAUUAUACUAAUAAAGGUUUUUCAAUACAAACUAUACUAAUAAAGAUUUUUUUUCUUUUGAAUAAACAAUAUUAUCUACACUUAGGGGUGAGAGAGUGUGUUAAGUCUCACAAUGAGCCAGUCAUAAUAAUAUGGUUCAAAUUCACCUUUGGUGAGAAUCGAACCUAAGACCUUUCAUUUACAAGUGAAGAUAAAUACCAUUAGAUCGUAAUACUAAAUGAGUAUACUAAUAAAACAUUGCUAUCUUUAUGCUGAAGAAUGUGGACUUAAAAACUUGACUCACCAUCUUUUGGACCACUUUUAAUUUGAUUCUAAUUUAAAUUUGUAAUUAAUUUCGAUUAAAAGCAAAGCGCAGCCAUGUUAGAAUGCUCAUGCCACCGCCAUUUUUAAUAGUCAAGAACAAUUAAUUGUAGGUAGCUGGCUGGCUUGUGAGAUUUCGGCGUUCUCCGAAAGUUGGGUGAGUAUGUAUAUUAAAAAUAUUUACACAUAAAGUUAGGAUGAAAAUAUUUACAUCUUAGGACGUAAUGGCCUAAAAAAUUGAGUGCUAAGAUUGAUUUUAUAUUUGACGUUAAUGUAUUGAUAAGAGAGAGAAAAUAGGUAACCAAUCAUAAGGUGGGGAAAAAGAAAAAGCAAUUGGAUCAUACAUUUAAUGCAAAUUGAAGUUACGAUACUUAAUUUCUUAUAUACAGACAUCACAUUUACCUAAACCACUAUGAAGAGAUUUAAUUUGACCUCUAAAUUACCUUUCAUAUAUCAAUUUAAUUUUUUGAGUAAAUGAUGGAUUUGAAACGGUGUGGGAUUUGAUAUCCAUUCUUAUCUUCAAUAUUAAAUUUGGGUGAGUCUAUUAGCAACAAAUAUUAGCACUUAGCAGAUGUGUCGUUUCAAUCCACAGGAAUGCGAGAGUGACAUUGGUGUAUAUACCAUUGUACCCAUCUCUCUUCUCAUUUGAAAUAAUUUGAGGUGUGACCUGACAAGAAAGAGGCACAAAAAGUUUGUUUGCAGUUUAAACCGUGUAAAAUGUCUUACUUAUCUUACGAUGACCUGACAAGAAAGAGGCACAAAAAGUUUGUUUGCAGUUUAAACCGUGUAAAAUGUCUUACUUAUCUUACGAUUUUUAAUAUAGAACUUUAACGAAAAACUCUAGGUACUGUUUAUUUUAAUAAAAAAAAUCAUAUUUUUACACUAAAAAAUCAAUUCUGGUACUAUUUACUUUACCAUUUAUUUUAUUUUUAUCAUUAAAACUCAAAGUUUCCAAAUUAUUUUUAUUAAUUUUCUCUUUUUAAUAUACUUUCUCAAUCGUGAUUGCCACAAAUUAUCUUCCUUAUAUAUAUAUAUAUAUUAUUAUUAUUAUUUACAGAUACUCUUAAAAAGAGUGUAUAACGACAAACUUAAUCAUGUGAAUAACGUUUCAUUAAGGUAGGUUUGGUCAACGUAGAUGAACACAUUCAUAGUCAGCUCCAUGGACCAUCAGAUGUAGAGGCAGUCUCAGUGGCAUUCGAACGCGUAGCCCUUAAAUCCAAGUGAAUAACGUUUCAUUAAAAGCAAAAUUUUGUAGAUAUUUACCCCUUAAAUCCAAGUGUAAUUGUUUGCCACUCAGUAUUACGGUCUGAUGGUAUUCCUCUUCAUUUAGAAGUGAGAGAUCUUAAGUUCGAAUCUCGUGGAUGGUGAAUUUAAUACCAAAUUAGACUGUUCAUUGUGUGGCUUAGCCGAACUCUCCCUCCCUGUAGUUUAAAAAUAUCAAUAUACUCAAACAACAACAACAACAACAAAGCCUUUUCCCACUAAGUGGGAUCGGCUAUAUGAAUCCUAGAACGCCAUUGCGCUCGGUUUUGUGUCAUGUCCUCCGUUAGAUCCAAGUACUCUAGGUCUUUUCUUAGGGUCUCUUCCAAAGUUUUCCUACGUCUUCCUCUACCCCUUCGGCCCUGAACCUCUGUCCCGUAGUCACAUCUUCAAACUGGAGCAUCAGUAAGCCUUCUUUGCACAUGUCCAAACCACCGUAACCGAUUUUCUCUCAUCUUUCCUUCAAUUUCGGCUACUCCUACUUUACCUCGGAUAUCCUUAUUUCUAAUCUUAUCAUUUCUCGUGUGCCCACACAUCCAACGAAGCAUCCUCAUCUCCGCUACACCUAUUUUGUGUACAUGUUGAUGCUUCACCGCCCAACAUUUUGUGCCAUACAGCAUCGCCGGCCUUAUUGCCGUCCUAUAAAAUUUUUCCUUGAGUUUCAGUGGCCUACGACGGUCACACAACACGCCGGAUGCACUCUUCCACUUCAUCCAUCCAGCUUGUAUUCUAUGGUUGAGAUCUCCAUCUAAUUCUCCGUUCUUUUGCAAGAUAGAUCCUAGGUAGCGAAAACGGUCGCUCUUUGGUAUUUCCUGAUCUCCGAUCCCCACCCCUAACUCAUUUUGGCCUCCAUUUGCACUGAACUUGCACUCCAUAUAUUCUGUUUUUGAUUGGCUUAGGCGAAGACCUUUAGAUUCCAACACUUCUCUCCAAAGGUUAAGCUUCGCAUUUACCCCUUCCUGAGUUUCAUCUAUUAACACUAUAUCGUUUGCGAAAAGCAUACACCAAGGAAUAUCAUCUUGAAUAUGUCCUGUUAACUCAUCCAUUACCAACGCAAAAAGGUAAGGACUUAAGGAUUGUUGAUGCAAAAAAUCAGUGAGGACUUUGGUACAACAGAAAGUAUUAAGUUUGUGAUCUUCGCUAGAUUGCUCCGGUCAUUAGUGUGGAUAAGUAUGUAAAUGGAUAGAGACAGGAAAGCAAACACAAGAUGUACGUGGUUCACCCAGAUUGGCUACAUCCACGGAGUAGAGGAGUUCUCAUUAAUUGUGAAGGGUUUACACAAGUACAUAGGUUCAAGCUCUCCUUUAGUGAGUACAAGUGAAUAAUUUAGUAUAAAUGACAUUAGGAAAUAUUGUGGGAGAAUGAUCUAGUAAUCACGAAACUUCUAAGUACCGAAGUGUGGUAUUGUCUUCACUUGCCUUAUCUGUCUCAUAGGUAGAUGUGACAUAUUCUCUGGAAGUACUCUUCCUCCAUCCAUGGGUGGUAUCUUUAACUGGUGGAGAUGCACAAGGUAAUGUAUCAAUUUCACUUGAAGCUUACUUGUAGUUUCAGGCUUGGUCAAGCGCGAUACAAACCAUGUAGUAGGAGUCCCUCAAAUCACCGAACUAGGGGAUCUGCUGAAAGAGGUGACAGACAAGGUAAGCAAUCAGUCCCAGAUCAGAAGUUUGAUUUCGAGUUCCGGCUAAUUGUUCUCAUUCUCCUUAUCUUGCAGGCAGCAUGAAGGAUAAAGAGAAGAAAAAUGAGAAGAGAUGAUAUGAGAUACUUUUGCUUUUGAAGAAAUAACUUUCCACAUGCUUAUUCUUGAACUGGGCUGGAGGGUUUUCUGGUUUCCUGUAGAGUAUAAGGCCGACUGAAGAAUUUGAGGGUCAAAACAAGUCCAUCAAAUCUAGAGUACGUUCGACCCUGCUAAUAUGGGAUACUUUUGCUGUUGACAAAGUAGUGGAUGUAUCGGCUCGUGUUCUGUUACGCUUGUCUCCACAUGCUUCCUUGUAUCCUUCUCACUUGCCCUAUCUGUUCCUCAGGCAGAUGUGGUAUCUUCUCUGGAAGCAUAAGAUGUUGAAGAUGAGUACUCGAGAGCAAUGCCAGGUAAGUAAUCAGGUAAAGGGUUCCAGGCAGUCAGUUCCUAAUUAGAAGCUUGAUUCCAACUGCUGACUGAUUGUUCUCUUUCUCCUUGUCUUGCAGGUAAGAACAAGGUCAAAGGAAAAAACAGGAAAAAAGCAUGAUAUGGAAUACUCUUGCUUUUAACCCUGAUGAUAUGAGAUAUUCUUGCUCUGGUGUAGCUUGUUUGCAGAUGUAUUAUCGGGGGGAAAGAAAGCUGAGUAUUUCGAGAGGCUUCGUUGGGAGUGCCCUCUCAGAUAUGAGGAAGGGUUGAGCAUUUUUGUAGGUCUGCCUGUCCGUUGAGGAUGAAGGUCGACAUAUAUAGGAGUCUCCCUAACAACAAGUAGUAAUGCUAUUCCUUUACCCUGCUUGGUCAUAGCACGGUAGUGGGAGCUGCCAGCUUCACGUGUUUAACUCUGUCAGAGCACUUUGAAAAAAUGGUCUGUGGUAUCUGGAAAGCUGAUGUUGCGUGUGAAGAUUACAGACAAGCUUUAUCUAAGGAGAUCUGGUUCUCGAAGUUGAGAAAGCGGUGCCUCUUCGGUUUUCGAACAAGUAAUCCUGUCGGGGAUCUGGCUCUCGAGAUUCGGAGAACAAUGCCUCUUCGAUUUUUGAGAAAGCAAUCCUGCUGGGAGUUUGGCUUUCGAGAUUCGGAGAGCAGUGUCUCUUCGAUUUUUGAUAAAGUAAUCAUGUUGGGAGUCUGGCUCUCGAGAUUCGGAGGGCGGUGCUUCUUUGAUUUUGGAGCAAGCAAUCUUGUUGGGAGUGUUUUCUCGAAUGUGAGUAAAGGUUAGGCAUGUUUGCCAGCCUACCUUGCCACGGAGCACAGAGGUUGACACACAAGGACUUUCAAAUUAUCCAGCAGUGGUGUUAUUCCUUUACCCUUGUGGGUAAUAAUAUGGUAGAUAGACCUUUAAAUUUAUGUGUCUAAACUUUGUUAGUGCUGUUUCUUUGCUAUUCUUUUACCCUUCACGUGUCUAAACUUUGUUAGAGAUCUUUGGCAAAGUUAUCUGUGGUACCCAUGAGCUGAUGUUGCGUAUGGAAAGUAGAUGAUUGAACAAUAAGAUUCACAUGCUUUCUACUUCACCAGAAAUCUUCGACAGAAUGCCCGUAGUUUCCGCAAAGCUGAGUGUGCAUGUGACAGGUGCUGACAAGGCUGAAAAAGCAGGUGCCUUUUCGAUUUCUGAGAUCAGCCCUUGUGGUCUCUGAGCAGCCCAGCUUUUGAGAAAGCAAACGCCUCUUCGAUUUCUGAGAUCGGCCUUCGUGGUCUUUGAGUAGCCCAACUUUUGAGAAAGCAAACGCCUUUUCGAUUUCUGAGAUCGGCCCUCGUGGUCUCUGAGCAGCCCAACUUGUGAGAAAGCAAACGCCUCUUCAAUUUCUGAGCAGGCGCCUCUUUGAUUUCUGAAGCUCCGUCGAGUGCAGAUUUUUAUAGAGGUUGGCAUUAAGUUCCAAAGCACACUUGAAUCUCCACCAGUAGAAGCUCCGUUCUUGCACUUCUAAGAUCUUGAUUUGUCCGACCUCUUCUCUUUUCAACACCUUUGAAAAUGUCUGGCCCCCCCAGACUGUCGUUUUGACUUGAACCUUGUUGAAGAGGCAACCGCGCCUUUUCCAGACAACAUAUGGCGCCCAUCUUUCUUAUCCCCUACUGGUCCUCUUACCGUUGGGGAUUCCAUGAUGAAGAACGAUAUGACCGCUGCGGUGAUGGCCAGGAACCUUCUCACUCCCAAAGAUAACAGACUACUUUCCAAACGGUCUAAUGAGUUGGCUGUUAAGGAUUCUCUGGCUCUCAGUGUUCAGUGUGCAGGUUCUGCGUCUAAUAUGGCCCAACGCCUAUUUGCUCGAACCCGCCAAGUUCAAUCAUUGGCGGCUGAAGUAAUGAGUCUCAAAUAAGAGAUUAGAGGGCUCAAGCAUGAGAAUAAACAGUUGCAUUGGCUCGCACAUGACUAUACUAUAAACAUGAAGAGGAAGCUUGACCAGAUGAAGGAAUCUGAUGGUCAGAUUUUACUUGAUCAUCAGAGGUUUGUGGGUUUGUUCCAAAGGCAUUUAUUGCCUUCGUCUUCUGGGGAUGUACCACGUAAUGAAGCUCCAAAUGAUCAACCUUCGAUGCCUCCUCCUUCUAAGGUUCUGUCCAGUACUGAGGCUUUGAAUGAUUCCCCUCCGGUGUAUUCUCUUUCUAGGGCUCUACCGACUGCUGAGACUUCUCCUAAGCAACCUUUGUAAAGACUCCUUCUUAUUUGUUUAUUUUGACUCAUGUAUAUGUACAUAUUUGUAACUUAUCGGAGAUAUCAAUAAAUAAGCUUUGCUUCAUUUCAACGUAUUGUGUUAAAUACACCAAAGUCUUCUUCACUAAGUUCUUUGAAUUUUUCUUUUGUUGAAACUUGUAUGUUGAAGCUUUGUGAGUGGAGCAUGUAGGUUGAGGUAGUGUUCCCUUAAUUUUCCGAGUGAGGAAAACUUCUCGGUUAGAGACUUGAAAAAUCCAAGUCACUGAGUGGGGUCGGCUAUAUGAAUCUUAUAACGCCAUUGUGCUCGGUCCUGUGUCAUGUCAUCCGUUAGAUCCAAGUACUCUAAGUCUUUUCUUAGAGUCUCUUCUAAAGUUUUCCUAGGUCUUCCUCUACCCCUUCGGCCCUGAACCUCUGUCCCGUAGUCGCAUCUUCUAACCGGAGCGUCAGUAGGCAUUCUUUGUACAUGUCCAAACCACCGUAACCGAUUUUCUCUCAGCUUUCCUACAAUUUCGGCUACUCCUAAUUUACCUCGGAUAUCCUCAUUCCUAAUCUUAUUCUUUCUCGUGUGCCCACACAUCCAACGAAGCAUCCUCAUCUCCGCUACACCCAUUUUGUGUACGUGUUGAUGCUUCAUCGCCCAACAUUCUGUGCCAUACAGCAUCGCCGGCUUUAUUGCCGUCCUAUAAAAUUUUCCCUUGAGCUUCAAUGGCAUACGGCGGUCACACAACACGCCAGAUGCACUCUUCCACUUCAUCCAUCCAGCUUGUAUUCUAUGGUUGAGAUCUCCAUCUAAUUCUCCGUUCUUUUGCAAAAUAGAUCAUAGGUAGAGAAAACGAUCGUUUUUUGGUAUUUCCUGAUCUCCGAUCCUUACCCCUAACUCAUUUUGGCCUCCAUUUGCACUGAACUUGCACUCCAUAUAUUCUGUCUUUGAUCGGCUUAGGUGAAAACCUUUAGAUUCCAACACUUCUCUCCAAAGGUUAAGCUUCGCAUUUACCCCUUCCGGAGUUUCAUCUAUCAACACUAUAUCGUCUACGAAAAGCAUACACCAAGGAAUAUCAUCUUGAAUAUGUCCUGUUAACUCAUCCAUUACCAACACAAAAAGGUAAGGACUUAAGGAUGAGCCUUGAUGUAAUCCUUCAGUUAUGGGGAAGCUUUCGGUUUGUCCUUCAUGAGUUCUUACGGCAGUCUUUGCUCAUUCAUACAUAUCUUUUAUAGCUUGGAUAUAUGCUACUCGUACUCCUUUCUUCUCUAAAAUCCUCCAAAGAAUGUCUCUUGGGACCCUAUCAUACGUUUUUUCCAAAUCUAUAAAGACCAUGUGUAAAUCUUUUUUCCCAUCUCUAUAUCUUUUCAUCAAUCUUCGUAAGAGAUAGAUUGCCUUCAUGAUUGAGCGCCAUGGCAUGAACCCGAAUUGGUUGUCCGAAACCCGUGUCUAUUGCCUCAAUCUAUGCUUAAUGACUCUCUCCCAGAGCUUUAUUGUAUGACUCAUUAGCUUAAUACCCCUAUAGUUCAUGCAAUUUUGUACGUCGCCCUUAUUCUUGUAGAUAGGCACCAAAGUGUUCUUUCGCCACUCAUUUGGCAUCUUCUUCGUUUUCAAAAUCCUAUUGAAAAGGUCAGUGAGCCAUGCUAUACCUGUCUCUCCCAAGACUUUCCACACUUCGAUCGGUAUAUCGUCUGGGCCCACUGCUUUUCUAUGCUUCAUCUUCUUCAAAGUUACAACCACUUCUUCCUUCCUGAUUCGACGAUAAAAUGAGUAGUUUCUACACUCUUCUGAGUUACUCAACUUCACUAAAGAAGUACUCCUUUCAUGUCCUUCAUUGAAAAGAUUAUGAAAAUAACCUCUCCAUCUGUCUUUAACCGCGUUCUCUGUAGCAAGAACCUUUCCAUCCUCAUCCUUGAUGCACCUCACUUGGUUUAGGUCCCUUAUCUUCUUUUCCCUUGCUCUAGCUAGUUUAUAGAUAUCCAACUCUCCUUCUUUGGUAUCUAGUCGCUUAUACAUAUCGUCAUAAGCCGCUAACUUAGCUUCUCUCACAGCUUUCUUCGCCUCUUGCUUCGCUCUUCUAUACCUUUCACCAUUUUCAUCGGUCCUAUCCUUGUAUAAGGCUUUACAACAUUCCUUCUUAGCCUUCACCUUUGUUUGUACCUUCUCAUUCCACCACCAAGAUUCCUUUUGGUGUGGAGCAAAACCCUUGGACUCUUCUAAUACCUCUUUUGCUACUUUUCGGAUACAACUAGCCAUGGAAUCCCACCUUUGGCUAGCUUCCCCCUCUCUAUCCCACACACACUGGGUGAUUACUUUCUCUUUGAAAAUGGCUUGUUUUUCUCCUUUUAGAUUCCACCAUCUAGUCCUUGGGCACUUCCAAGUCUUGUUCUUUUUUCUCACUCUUUUGAUAUGUACAUCCAUCACCAACAAGCGAUGUUGAUUAGCCAAGCUCUCUCCCGGUAUAACUUUGCAAUUCUUACAAGUUAUAUGAUCCCCUUUCCUCAUUAGAAGAAAAUCUAUUUGUGUUUUUGACGACCCACUCUUGUAGGUGAUCACAUGUUCUUCUCUCUUCUUAAAGAAGGUGUUGGCUAAGAAGAGAUCAUAUGCCAUUGCAAAAUCCAAGAUAGCUUCCCCAUCCUCGUUUCUCUCCCCAAAACCAUGGCCACCAUGAAAACCUCUAUAGUUGUCUGUCUCCUUGCCCACGUGUCCAUUUAAAUCUCCUCCUAUAAAUAACUUCUCCGUCUGAGCAAUUCCUUGCACCAAGUCUCCAAGGUCUUCCCAAAAUUUCUCCUUCGAACUCGUAUCCAACCCUACUUGAGGUGCGUAUGCACUAAUCACAUUGAUGAGUUAUUGUCCUAUUACAAUCUUGAUUGCCAUGAUUAUAUCUCAUACCCUCUUGACAUCUACAACAUCUUGUGUCAAGGUCUUAUCCACGAUGAUGCCAACACCGUUUCUCGUUCUAUUUGUGCCCGAAUACCAAAGUUUAAACCCUGAGUUUUCUAGAUCCUUUGCCUUAAGACCCACCCACUUAGUUUCUUGUAGGCACAUAAUAUUUAUCCUUCUCCUCACCAUAAUUUCCACUACUUCCAUAGAUUUUCCUGUUAAGGUUCCUAUAUUCCACGUUCCUAAACACAUUCUACUCUCUUGAACUCUAUCAUUCUGUCCUAGCUUCUUCACCCUCCCCCGUCUAAUAGGAUCAAAAUACUUCUUUUGUGUGUCCUGUGUAAAGUUGAUAGGAGCAUAUGCUCCCAAACAACUUUGAGUGGAGUCGUUCGAAAAGAAGUUUCUAUGGCCCCCUUGCUCAUUUAACACUGCAUCCGGGUGCCGAUGGAGAUACAACGACCCUUGCUCACUUAUCACUGUGCUCGGGCCACACAGCCCGCCACUUACGGGUGACGCCCUAGCUUUAGCGCGAUUUCGUUCUGGAUUCAUUUUCAUAAGGAUUCGACGUAACCGAGGAGUGCCGACUGUCGACUACUUGACGCCCUCCCCCUCCUCCUUUAUCCGGGCUUGGGACCGGCAAUGUAAGAUAAACUUACACAGGUGGAGUUAAAAAUAUCAAUAUACUAAAAAAAAUAAAAUAAUAAUCCAACCGUAACUGCACCCGUUCUACAAUUUGAUUGCUUCUCACUAAUAUUAUCAAUUGUGAGGGAGAGGCUAACAUUAAUUAGACAUUUCAACUUAUUUUAUACUUUUCAGCCAAAUUGCUUUGUGCACUACUAUUUUUACUUGAGAUGGACAAACCAAAGAACUUAGGAACUGUAUCCAACUAACAUGCUAUUCUUAUCGACAAGUAGGCAUUGCCAUGCGACUACUGACACUGACUUCCCAACUAAACUUGCAAUCUAAGCAACAUCUCCAUCACCAUAACAUGGAAGCUGGUAUUGUCUGGUUGCAAACACAGAUAAUAGCAUUACUCGUAAAUCUUUAACCUCAAAAUCUUUUGCAAUCUACCCAAAAGCUGUCUAUGAUUCAUAAGUAUGAGACGAUCCAAGGAAAGGAAAAUUUUGGAGCCCCGGAGGAAUAAGAGUUACACUUAACAUCCUCCAUAUUAUUAUUAACCUAAAACGCAUACAUACAAUGAUAUUGAGAAUUACAAGAAUACAAUAACGGUGACAAUGUCGCUGCAUAGGCCCUCUUCACGACACCUAAAAGACAUUCAAACUCAAAUCAUCGUCAUCUUCAUUUCCGUCUUGCUUGGGUUUGGAGGGAGAACCUCGAGUAUGUAUAUGAAAUUUAAGCUAGAAAAAAAUGUGGCGCUUACAAAACUGACCCUCUUUCACCGCCAUAGCGUACCAGUGUUAUGUUAACUUGGAAGAUAGUUGCGGUUUGCCAUGUAUAGUUUCUUCAUAAGAGUUCAAACAAUACACCGGGGUGUGGAGAGACAAAACGCUACAUGAUUCCGUCCCUUGUGCUACAUGCGGCCAACUAUGUUUUCUUGAUCUCAUCUCUUCUGAGCUUAUUCUGGUAUCCAUGGAUGUUGAAUGAGGUGAGCAUAAUUGAGAUAUUGGCCGUAUCCGACAUAACCUCCCAUUUGAGAAGUUUUUGGCUUCGAAGUUCAACUGUCUUUGACUAGUGGCUUUCAAGUUUACUUUUCGACCAACCACCGGAGGGAAACUGACUGAAACAGCUGAGAGGCAACUAGAGUCGUCAUUGCAUGAGGGAAUAGUUGCGUUCGGCAUUGCUGUACUCUUUUUCCAAGUAAAAAAUGAUCGUUGUAACCUGGAUGGAACCUGCACAGCCAAAAAAUAAAAGUUGUAAGAACUAGUUCAAAUUGACAGGCAUCACUCAAACUACGUUCUCUUACUACGGGGUACGGCCAAAUUGAAAACACCAGCUGAUAUACCGAUUAAAAGUCUUCAUAUUUUAUGCGUCAAUCACCAGCCUCUACUUUCAAAUACGGAUUAUUAACUAAUGCAACGUAAUAUAAAAUAAAGGCUGCUGGCCUUAUUUAGAGUGCCCUCAAUCUUCAACGUAUUUCAGAAAAACAAUAUGGGUUAGAAAGUGACAACGUUUAUGAUCAAUCCAUUAGACAUAGUCUAACUUCUGAAGGACACUGCUACCAUAAGUUGUAACUACUUGAGGGAUAUAUGGAUAAGCUCCCAUAACUCAAAAAUCAUUUGGUUAAGUGAAUCUUAAAUCUGAGCUACCAUAAUAAUGUCCCCAACUGCACAUCGAUAGAUGCACAUGCCCAACUACAUACUUUGUAGACAGACUAAUUUAAAUUUUUUAAACUCUUAAUUCACAAGAAAACUGAUCCAUUAUUUCAUUUGUAAAUAUAACCUAUGCUCCAACUACAUACUUUGUAGACAGACUAAUUAACUAGUUCUACCAAUUUAUAUGUGACUUGCGUAUUCUAUCAAAAUUCUUCUUGGCGAGGCAUGGUGAUAAAUUUCGUAGGAGCAUUUUUACACAUGGAAAGAUGACGAAGUGUGUAGUUCAUAAAGACAAGAAGAGUUCUUGUUUCAAUCAUGAAAGCAAUCAAGUUCAACAGUUUAAAUCCUUAAUGCAAAUAUAAACUGUCAUCAACGUUAACUAGAUACAAAAGAUCAAUCAAAGCCUCUACAAAAGUGGAUUAUGAGUUCAGAACUCUAAUCGUCAUGACUCAUCCAUCAACCAGUAAACAACUAAUCAGACAGCACAACUACUCAUUAAGAGGACACUAUGCACUAGCAUUUUACACAUACCAAAUCCUUAUUAAAUAAUAUAAAUAUAAACCUGGUGCAGCAAUAUAAGUCUAUGAUUUCUAAUCCAAAAAUUAUAGACAAGUUCUUUAUGAAGUUGCUUGGCUACGAGGUAAGGAAAAGAUGCUGAUUUGAUUCAAAACCAUGACAUCAUUUGGACUACCACAAUUUAAACUUUCGUACUGCCUUAGCUAAUAUAUUGAUUGGCUACGGUUUUCAUUUUUGGUAGUCUAAGGCCCUGGAUAGCAUAUAUGUCUUAACACCACAAGAUAUUCUAUUCAUAAACGCUGACUUAUCACAACUUUAUGAAAUGAAAUUCCAAGAAAUAUGUUGUAAAAGAAAAGUUCAGAACUCACUCCAGAGACGAGGCUACUUGAAGCAAAUGCCAAUGUAGACGAAGAAAAUGGAGAUUUACCAGGUUGUUUCCCCUCUGGCCAUUUUUAGUUGCAUCUUGAUCUGCAGUUGCAGAACCAAAACUUGAUGGCGCAACAUCAUCCUCAUCUUCAUCUUCCUCUUCCUCUUCAUCUUCAUCCUCUUCAACUAAGGGUUUCUCAUCUUGCUUAGCCGAUGCAGCAGAAGUAUCUUCUUCCUCCUGCAAACCCAUUUCGACCUUCUCCUCCUCUUUCUCUCUCCUCUUUAACUCCCCAUCCACAUCCUCAAUUACCUCUUCGAGGCACAACUCAGCCUCUACAAGUUCAAGUUCUUUUUCAAUCAACUUCAACUUCACCUCACCGGCUUUCCUCUUCUCUUCAGUCCAUUUCUCUACAUUUUCAAAAAUGGGCUUGCAUGCAUUUUCCACUGCUGAUACUACACGCAUCCAUAAAUUUUUCUUCUUCGCAUCAACAUUUCUUCCAUAGAACUCAUCAAAACCAAGGGGAAGGAACUCCACCUUUUUUGGGUCCACCUCUUCCCCAUCUUUCAGAAGCGGCUGCCAAAAUAAGCGCACCCCAUAUUUUUCAUCAUUAAUAUAGUUGAUUAACCGUCCAGUUCAUGUGUGUAAGAUUAUGGGAUCUUCAGUAUAUACAAGCUUCGAUGGGUCUUCAGGAUCAGGCUCUGGGAUAACAAGAACAAAUUCUGGAGUUUCAUCUGAUCAAGCAAAUGUAACAUAUAUUUAGUAGGCAACUUGACUUUGUCCUUUUUGGCCGAAGACCAAACCACACAUUAUAUUCGGAGAAACAGAAAACCAAAGGGAAUUCUAUGAAGAAGCCACUGGCUUAGGUGGCCAGGUAACACCUCUCAAUUUUACAAUGGAAAGAUAAAAGGGUUCAUCAAAUUGAGUUUUUCGUAUGUUCGGAAGAUCUCUAACAUUCUGCACUCCGAAAAAAUAGUGGAUGUGCAGAGCAAAUUUUUUUAAAUGGAUGCGAGAUGGGGGAAAGGGGGUAUGUCUAUGGAUGAUGAAAUUAAUACCCUUUGACCACCAGUAUUCAAGCUCAGCAGGCAUGGGUAUCCUCAGUGGAGUUUUAUAGAAAGAGUUCAACCACAUUUCCCUUUCUUCAUCAACCUCAUGCACAUAUGUUUUCCAAUAAUCAGGUACCUGACAAAGAGUAUAAAUACUUUUCUAUGAGAAAAGAAAUAUUACAUACUCAACUUCUUAAACCUAACCAAUCAAUUUCCUGACUAAUUAAGGUAUAUUGAUUUACUUUCAUUUGUUUUAUGUGAAAUUUUUUACCAGCCAUAAACAAUUGAUGAUAACUUACUUCAUAAAAUUGGUUUAUGAAGCCUGGUGCCAUCCAAACAUCAUCAUCUUCAUAAAAGUAGGGAUGUUGAGGAUCACCAUAAGGUCCCAUUUCUUCCCUAACCACUUUAAAAGAAAAGAAGUUCCAUUGUCAUGAACCAAGGAGAGAUCACAGAGUACACAGAAGCUGAACGGAUCUUAUGGUAUAAACCAGAUCUACAUGAUGCAAGAAUUACAAUAGUAAUUCAAAGUUCCUGUGUACACAAAUUUACAAAAUCAACAAAAUCUGCAUUUUCUGAGGGCCAGAUUAUCAGAAAAAUAUUAAUAAUAAAUGAAGCAAGGCCUCAAAAAGCGCUCAACUAAACUUAUGCAAACUUAUAAGGGGUUUUCAAGAACUAUUGGCAUCUCUUCAGUAAAAAUAAUGCGUACAUUCCAUAGUCUGCUGAAAUGCUAUCGUUUCUUUUUGGUCAAUGUCCUCAAAUGGUAUCUAUAUGGACAAUUUUAUCCAUGAAUAAAUACUAACAAUAUGCAAGUCAUAUUCCUGACAACAACGGUAUAUGUUUUAGUGCAUAUUUAGUCAACCUCUGGCCAGAAACUUCCAACUAUAAAAGUUGAGUUCAAAUUUCAGUUUCUACAGGAUACAACAAUUUGCAACUUAACAUCCAUGGAAGGCAAUUAUUAGUAUUAAAAACAUACUUCCAUCAGGCUUGUUGACAAACAUCCGAGCCUUAGCAGCAGCCACUUCUGCAAUACCCGCAUGCAGCUGAAAAGCAACCAACACAUUAGUGAAAUCUUCGCACAGAUGGUAACUUUCACCUCUGUACUUGUAAUGUAAGUAUAAUGCAUCAAAGAAGGAACAUAUAUUUUUACCGCUGAUACAUCCUCAUCACAACCAGUAUCAUCCUCCACUAAGUCCCCAAAAUAGAACCUACCCUGCAUGCAAAGAGAAGAUAAAGUACCUUAACUCAACAACCAUAAUAUAGUAUCAAGCUGUUACAAACAGGGGCAGAACUUUCACAUUAUUUGAUGCCCUACAUGUUAUUUCAUUACUUUCCACUGUAAGUUUUUUCACUAGCAUCCCCUACAACCAUCUUGUAUUGCUCGAGAGUAUACUGGGAUUUCCCACCGUCCCACGUUUAUUAGAGAGAGGCUGUCGUUGUAACCUAGGGAUCUAAUUUUGAGUUAAGCGGGUUCGCGCGAGAGCAUUCUCAGGAUGGAUGAUCCACUGGGAAGUUCUCGUGUGAGUUCCUAAAAACAAAACCGUGAGGACGGGGUCGGAGCCCAAAGCGGACAAUAUCGUGCUACGGUGGAGUCGAGCCCGAGAUGUGAUGGGGGCCCGAGUCAGGAAGUGACAUCUAAGGGACAAAAUAGACAUAAAAAUAAGAACUAAAAUAUUUAAACCUAUAUUAAGUGCCAUCAAGUUGCUGAUGUGGAUAAGUGGGUUUUUCCUAUAAUUUGUAGGCUUAAAUGUUAAAAUAGUCCUUGUGUUUUAUUUAUUGGGUCAAUUUAAUCCAUGUGUUUACAAUUUGGUCAAUUUGGUCCUUGUGUUUAUCUUCAUUAGCCAAUUAAGGACAUUUUCAUUUAAUUUAUGUAAAAAAUUUAUAAAUUAUUACAAACUUAUUUAUAAAAUUAUUAUUUGAUUUAAAAUUAUUUUAAAAUGAAAUAAAAUUAAAAGAAAAAUUAUUCUCCUCCUAACUUGCCAACUUCCUCCCUAACAUUACCCCCUCUUUUUUUUAUGUCACAACCUUAAUCAUUUUUCAUAUUGGAAGCUUUAUCUCUUAUAUGUGUAAUUUCUCAUUGAUUUAGAUUUUUUUGUGAAGAGAAAGGAUAAUUAUAUCUCAUAUAAUUUUUCUUAUGGGUUUUUUUUUAAAAGAAAUUGAAUUAAAUGUCCUUAAUUGGCUAACAGUGACAAAUACGAUGACUAAAUUAGCCAAAUAAAAAACACAUGGACUAAAUUGGCCAUAUGCCUAUAACACAGAGACCAUUUUGACAUUUAAACCUAAUUUGUAUAACUUUUUUUUAACAAACGAUAUUCUUUAUACUAAGGAGAAAAAUACGAACUUAACCUCACAAUCAACAAUAAUUUGUAUAAAUGACUGGUCUAAAUCAAUCAAUCAUAAAAUCCAAUGUAUAUUUGAAUAUAAUUAAGGACUCUACACUGUGAAUUGUAUUUCAAAGGGGAUUUUCAUGCAGAAAAAGGGCCAGCAGCCUUAGUUUGAAUUAUGCGAAGUGUAUUUCAAAGGGGAUUUUCAUGCAGAAAAAGGGCCAGCAGCCUUAGUUUGAAUUCCUUGUGCAUGACUUUAUAUGAAUCGUGUAUUUUCAUGGGGUAUUUUGAUAUGGGUCCAACGUAACUAAAAAUUAGACCAAUUUCAAAAGUCAAAAGUCACUAAAAAUUGAACUUAUUUCAAAAGUAGGCCUAUAGAAUUGGACCUAUUUCACAAUUUCCCUAUUUUCAUCGUACCUAGAAGAAGCAAACGGUAAAGAGAGGAUCCGAAAGAGAGGAUCCUUGUCGGAUCCUCUUUGUGAAGAUCUCAGAGAUCCUUCAAUUGUACGGUCAGUUUUUGUUAGGUACAGUUUAUAUUCAAUUUGAAAUAAUAAAAUAUACAAUGAUUUCUGACUUCAAGAUGUACAAUGAAUGGAUGUGAUUGGAGGAUCCUUAGGAUCCUCACAAAGAGGAUCCGGUGAGGAUUCUCCUGGCAAACGGUAAGCAAAGAGGGCCAUAUAAAAUGGAAAAUGAUCCUCUCCGGAUCCACUUUGUGAGGAUCAUAGGGAUCCCCACAUCCUAACCGCUCAUCGUACAUUAUGCAGUCAGUUUUCUUCAGAUACUAUUUGUGUUUAAUUUUAAAUAAAAAAAAGUCAAAAUUUCUGACAGUACGAUUACAAUAAACGGAUCCCCACAAAGUUGAUCUAGAUGAGAUCUAAUUCUAUAUAAAAUUAAGCUAUGUUAAAUAUUAAAAUAUUUUAAUAAUAUUAAUAUUUUAUAUGGCCGUCUUUGUUUACUGUUUGCUUCUUCCAAUAUUUUAAUAGAAAAAAUAUUUUAAUAUUAAAAUAAUAUUGCAAGUGGUCAACUACCAUAUUGGUGAGGAUGAGUGUUGUACAUACACCACGAUAUGGGUUUGAACUCCGUCAGCUUCCUAAUAACAUCUAAUCUAACAAAUCUAUCAUUUUAAGAAAAAAAAUAUUAUAGAGGGACUGCUAUCUCAGGUAUUUUCUUUUAUUUCAUUGAUCCAUCCAUUGUUAAUAUAUAUAGAGGAUCGAUUUUAUAGCUUGCUUCGAGCACAAUGGAGCUUUUGUACAUGAUCUUAAUUAGUUUUGUGCUUGCCUGUGUUUCUCUCUGCUAUGUUUUUAACCAUAUUCGUGUCGCCGCCGGCAUGAGAAAGGAAAAACUUGAUCGUCAUCCGCUCCCACCAGGAAGCACAGGAUGGCCAAUCAUCGGUGAAACCCUAGAGUACCUGCGCACGGCCAAAAAGGGUGUCCCGGAAAUGUUCAUGUUAGACAGGAUUAACAGGUACUUGUCAUCCGCUGGCAACUCUUGCAAAGUUUUCAAGACAUCGUUGUUGCUUCAAGACAUGGCAGUGCUAUGCACUGCGGGCGGAAACAAGUUCCUCUUUUCGAACGAGGAAAAACUGGUCAAGUCGUGGUGGCCGGCUCACUUGGAUAAGAUUAUCGUUGGCAACUCAGAAAAAACACUCAAUAUCACUGAGGAGUCUAAUCGAUUUCGCAUGAUUCUCGCUCCGUAUCUGAAGCCUGCCGGCCUCCAACAGUAUGUAGGAACCAUGGAUUCGGUCACCAAAAAGUAUUUGGUUACCUUUUGGGACCAUAAAGAUCAAGUGAAGGUUCACCAACAUGCAAAGAAAUAUGCGUUUACGUUGGCAUGUAAACUCAUGUUAGAUGUGGAGGAUCCACAGAUGUGGAGGAUCCACAAGUAUUGGACAAACUAGAGGGGCUAUUGAAGGAUUUGUCUUCUGGGUUCACGGCAUUGCCAAUCGAUCUUCCGGGCACAACAUUUAACCGAGCCAUUCGAGGAUCGACGCAACUCAGGGAAGAAAUUGAGAAGAUUGUGGUUGAGAGGAGGAUAAAGCUUUCCACUGCUAGUGCCAAUAGUAUGGUCGACGAGGAUGGUGAUCACGGAGAUAUGUUGUCGAGCUUACUCAUGGAGACAUAUAGCGACGGGCAACAGAUAAGCGAAUCGGAGAUUGCGGACAAGCUGUACGGUGUUAUAGUUGCUGGCUACGACAAUCUAAGCAGUGUGUUGGCUACCAUUAUCAUGUAUCUGGCGGAGUUUCCUCAAGUCUAUGAUGCCGUCCUUAAAGGUAAUUAAGCUGCAUUUUCAUGGAUUUAUUAUGAACAUCCAGUUUGGGAUAGUGGUGUUUUUUAAAACAGCUUAUAAAAACAAGGGUAAACUAUAUUUUACACCUUAGAUUUAGGUGCAAUAACAACCUCAUACAACAUGUAUAAAACAUUUCAAUCUUAUACAUUAGUUAUCAUUUUAUUUCAAUUUCAUACAAUCGUUAAAAAAUCUGUUAAGUUAAUCUUUAAGUAAUAACAUGGUAAUAGUGGACUCUAAAAUUUUGUUGACGUGAUUGCUUGCUUGUGCCACGUGGCAAAACAACUAAUAAAAAAUAUUUUAAUAAAAUAUCAAUUCUUUUGUUAAAUUUUUGUAAAAAAAAGGGAAAAAAAGAAAAAAAAGAAAAACCAAACCCUCCCCAGUCCCAGGCCGUUCAUCCUCUCCCCUUUGGUUUUAUAAUUAAAAACUUAAAAAAAUAGAAAGGAGAAAAAGGAAAACCCCAAAUUUUUCCAAAAAAACAGAAAAAGGAAAACCCUAAAUCCUACCCAGUCCCACGCCCCCCACAUUCUCCAAGCCCACGGCACCCCCGCCGUCGUCCUCUCCACUUAGCCAUUCUCUCCGGCCCCGACCUUAUUCGCCGUCCGCAACACCUGAUUCCAGAACUCCGUCCUCGAUUACCCCGAUAGUAGUCUACUACCACGUUAUUACUGAACAUUUAAUUUAAUAGAUUUUUUAACGGUGGUAUAAAAUAGAAAUAAAAUAAUAACUAAGGUAUGAGAUUGAAAUAUUUUAAAGAUAUUGUAUGAGGUUGCAAUUAUACCUAAAUUUGAGAGGGUAAAAUAUAAUUUGCCCUAAAAACAAUUUGAAACAUCAAAUGAGUUUGGUAAAAUAAAUAAAAUGUGUGUGUGUUUUUCUUUUUUAAAUUGCUAUCAAUGACAGAACAAAAGCAUAUAAAAGUAUGAGUAGGGUUUACUAUGUUUUAAAAAAAAGUUUUAUUUUUCAAAGCAUAGUAAUGAGUACCUAGUUUUACUAAACACUCAAGUAACUUUAUUUUAUAAUAAUUUAUUUUUACAAUACAGAAAAAAUAAUUUUUUAAAAAAUACAUCAAUACCAAACUAACCCGUAGUCUAAAUUACUCAAUUUGCAACAACAAUUUAAGGAUUAGAAGGAUGACUACGACCAUGAUCAUUAGAGCAAGUCCACCCCUAAGAACUUUGCACCAGCACCCAGCGCAUUUAUCCACUCAAGUGAACAGUAAUAGAUUGGAGUGAACAGUAAUAGGCCAAGGUAUCUCCACCCCUAAAAAAAUGCGCUGGCACCCAACGUAUUUAUUUGGUGUGUUUGUUUUUUUUAAGUUUAUUUCGGAUAAGAUUUUUAACCAAUUUCGGAUAAAAUUUCAAAUAAACUUAAAAAAAAAUACACACUAAAAUAAAAUUACAUACUCAUCAAAUAAACUUAAAAAAAACACACUAAAUAAAUGUGGUGUAAGGUGGAAGAUGAGGGUUACGUAUUUAUAGAAAGAAAAAAAACUUUUUUAAAAUUUUAUUGUAUUUAAAAAAAAUAUGUAUUUUUUAAUAUUUUUUAAUUAAUUUUAAUGUAGUUAAUUAAUCUGGACCAUUGGAUUUGAAAAAUAUUCAAAUCCAAGAGCCAGGAUCAGCCACAUGGCCACGCGCCAGCAAAUGGCCCGGCUUCUUGGUCAGCCUAUUUUGUGCUGGCCUAGAGACCAGCAUGGGAUGGGUGCCAGGCUGUUGAACGGGCUGGAGGACAUGGACAGGGUGCUGGGCUGCUAUUUGGACUGAGUGCUGGGCAAAGUCCACUCCGGUGGACUUGCUCUUAGAUAUUUUUUUGUAAAAAACAUGGUCUUUAAUUGAGGAUUUAGAAAAUAAAUGGUCCAUAUCUUGAAAUGGGGUUGUAGGGUGGACGGAAAUGACGUUGUAGAGUGGACAAAAAUGACUUCAGUCAUUGCUAAACCAGUUAAUAUACAUAAUUUCACUUUUCUCAACUAAUAUAUAUAAUAAUAUUUGCUUACUUUUCUAUACUAUCUAUUAAUAGACCACUGUUUGUAAGCCAAAAACUAAGAGACUAUCUAUUAUCUAUUAGUAAAACACUUUUUGUCAAACAAAAAACAAGGAAAAUGCUAUUAUACCUUUCCAUGCUUAAUUGAAAGAAAAUAUCAGGAAAGAAAAAUUAUGGGCACUUAAGUACUUUGCACAAAAAAAAAAAAAAAAAAAAAGCUUUGGUAUAUAUUUUUUUCCAUCCACAUAUCAUCAAAGCACGUGUCUAUUAAGAAUAAUAACUAAACCUAACUACUUAAUUCGGUGGCCAAAAUUAAACUUGAACAGAACAAAUGGAGAUUGCAAACUCAAAAGCAGCAGGAGAGCUGCUGAACUGGGGGGACGUACAAAAGAUGAAAUAUUCAUGGAGCGUGUCGUGUGAAGUGAUGAGAUUGUUGCCCCCAAAUCUUGGGACUUUUAGAGAGGCCACCACCAACUUCGUUUAUGAAGGACAUCUAAUACCAAAGGGAAUGAAGGUAAAUUAUUUAUAACUAUUAUAAUUUAUAUAAUGAUAAAAUUAUUACUACUAUGCACAAACUUUAUGUAUGUGAAUAUUUAAUUUUUAUUGUUGUUUUAAAAUGGAAAACGGAGCGGAAGAGAGAGAACGUGGGAAUGAGGAGAGAGGUGUUUAUUCUCUCUCUCUCUCUCUUUGUUUUUUUUAAUUUUUUUUUUAAUUUUUAAUAUUAGAGAUAGAUUAGGAUCAUAUGUGAGUAAGGCUUAAAAAAAGUAAAAUUUAGUUCUUGCGAAAUUGCAUUAGUGUCCAUGAUUUUGUGUUGUGAUUGAAGAUUAAAUUGUGUUUUCACUUUGUUUUAAUUAACAAAGAAGUUUUUGUAAUUAAUAGGUAGAUUAUUAUUGUUAGUGGAAUGAGGGUAAUUAUAAAUUAAAUAAAUCUUGGGGUGUAGUCAAUUUAGAUUUCAGAAAAUUUUAUGCAAAUUUUUAAGUGACAGAUUUUAGAAGAUUUUUAAUGGACAUUUUAAUAGACUCUACAAUUUUAUAUAGAUUUUGACAUAUUUUAAUUUCUAAUAUAAGUUUCUAUAAAUUUGUAUGAACUUCUUUCAUAAAUUUCUUAAGAUUUCUAAGCAUCACCAAACCUAGUUAGAAAGCUGCGAGUGCUCUCAUUGUAAUAAGCAUUGGUUUGGCGACCGUUCUACUAAACAUUAGUGAACACUAUUUUAAUAUAAAAAACAUGUAGAACUAGUUAAACAUUAUUGAACACUAUUUUAAUAUCAAAUAAAUCUUACUUCACUCACUAUUAAUAAUUUAAGUAUUCAAAAAAACAUUUAUAGGUUGUUAUAAUAAUUUGGGUUAAGCCAUACAUUAGACUUAUCAUAAUAAUUUGAUAUCAAACUCGUUAUUGACAACAUUAAAACCUAAGACCUUGUAAAAAGAAAUAUCGCUACACCAAAUGACUAAUCAACCUACGAAAACCAAUCUUAGACAUUCAUCACUAGUCUCCUACAUAAUUAAGAGGGACUUUUUAUGAAUAGGGAGAUCAUUAACUAUAUGGUCAUCGCCCUGAAUAUUUCGUUUGUAUUGGGAACAUUGUGUCCGUGUAUUUGUCCUGUUAUAUUGUUAGAUGACUAUGGUUUCAUAUUUCAUUGAUUUCCUUGUGAGAUUGAUCCUUGAAAAUCAACUUAAUUGUGUCGUGGAUCUACUUGUGAUAUCCCUUUUUGGUGAAGAUUGAUUAAAGAGGGAACCCUCUUAAGUUAUGGGUAAUGUAUAUAUAUGAGCGUACUGGACGUGAUAUAUAUGAUAUUUUUUAGUACAAUAUAUAUGAAUGAGUUUAGUUUAACUUUGAUUACAUUUGUAUAUGCAUGCAUGGAUGAAUAAGCAGUUGCAUUGGAAUGUGAAUUCGACACAUAAGAACCCAGAAUGCUUCCCGAAUCCAGAAAAGUUUGAUCCGUCGAGGUUUGAGGGAAAAGGACCACCUCCUUUUGCAUUUGUUCCUUUCGGAGGAGGACCUCGAAUGUGUCCCGGCAAAGAAUACUCUCGACUCAAAAUACUGGUGUUCAUGCACAACGUGGUCACCAAAUACAAGUGGGACAAGGUUUUUCCUGAUGAGAAAUUCAUAUGGGCACCUGUGCUUCGUCCAACCAAAGGACUUCCAAUUAAGCUUUUUCCUCACAAUAAAUCCAAUUAACAACGUCGUAAGCCCUUAAAAAUAAUUAAUGGAUGAUCAACGAUCCUAUGAAUACAUGUAAUGCUAUUGGAAACUGUAUUUGGUUUUAGCUAUUAAUUAUUGUUAUUGUAUGAAUCUAUAGUUUGUAGUCUACACGCGAAUCCUAUUCAUGUAUAUGAUUUUAUUAAUGGAAUAAAGAUUGUAAAAGUUAAUCACGUUUGAAUUUCCCUUUUUCUUUAAGUUGUCAUAUAUAUAGAAAAUUUUCUUUGAUAUAGUUAGUCAAUUUAGUUGAAAAUCAGAGUACGCAACAAACAUAUAUAUUUAAUACAAAGGAUAAAUUUCAAUUUACUAUCUUAAAGUUUCGUGGUUUUCAACAUUUGGUAUAUGAAGUUUUUUUCGUUCCAAAGUUAUACCUAAAGUAUUAAUUUUGGGACUGUCUCGUACAUCCAUUAGAGUUUUUCAGUAGACAAUUCAAGGAAAAAAAAAAAAAAAAAAAAACAAAACCCACCCGUCUUGUACCUCCCCCAACCCCUUCCCUCCCUUCUUUCCUCUGCAACACGUACCCUCCCUUCUAACAAAGAUCAAAUGCAGCAGGCAGCAGUACAAUUCCAAUUCAAAAGUUAAACAUCUUCGUACACAAGUAAUCAGAAACUUGCCUGAUUUCGGCGCUGAGGAAAGCCGUGGGUGGUGGGUGGGGGGGGGGCGUUGCGGCCUUUGCUGGUAGCAGCAGCUUCAACAGAACUCACAUUCGAAUCCGAAAAACCAAUUGCAAGAACUGCCUGGUCCGACAGCCGUGUUCGAGUUCGGCGCUUCCCAAAUCCCAGUUCAUCCUAAAAUCCGAAACUUCAAACCUCUGCCAAAUACAAAAACUAGAACUAGUUUCCGAGGUAAUUUUUCACCUUCUUCUCGAUCUGUGUAUUUACAUCUCUAAAUACCAAUCUGGGUAACGAUUAUUUUGUGGCUAAAAUCCCCGUGAUUGUUGACUGUUUUGAUGGAUUUGCAGGGAAGAAGAUGGAGUUCUGGGGCGGCGGACACGUGGCGUUGAGUUUGGCGCUGGUGGGUUUUCUGGUUUUGUGCCGAUUGGAAGGGUCGCUAGGGUUGAGGUUCGUGAUAGACAGGGAAGAGUGCUUUUCUCACGAUGCAAAGUGUUGAUUUGUAUUAGGAUUCCUAUAAUUGUGUGAUUCUUACCAUAUUUAGUUUCCUAGUUAGGAUGUAAUUAUUUUCCCCUUAUUCUUUCCCAUAUUUGUAUAGGGUUGUAUAUAUACCUUUGUUUGAGAUGAAAUACACAUAUCAUUGAAAAACAUUCUUUCUUCUUGGCACCAGAGCCGGGUUAGAAAAGGAAAACACCGAACCCUAAUUGUAUUUUUUCCACUGCCGUGUCCCUGAUCAAUUGCAGCGAGCAACUUAGAGUUGUUGCUGCCCGUUUCCUGAUCGAUUGCAGCGAGCAACUGAGAAGUUGUUGUUGCCCCGUCAAUUCGUUCGUAUUGUUCCAAAGCCCCAUCAAAACUGUAGUUUUUUUUCUGCCCAGUUUGUAUUAGUCAGUUCCAAGGUCCCAUGGCUGAAGAAAAGGGGGUUGGUUCUCAGAUUGUUCCAGCGGUUGCUCCAAUUAUGGUGCAGUCAAAGAAUUCAAGCUUUAAUAUUGGUAUGGUUUUGGAUGAAAAGAACUAUGAUUUAUGGGCUCCUCUUAUUCAAAUCCAUAUUGCUGGAAGGAAGAAGAUGGGAUAUCUUCGUGGGUCUAUCAAGACACCUAACGAAGAUGAUCCUAAAUAUGAUGAUUGGUUUUUUGAAGAUAAAAAAAAUUAAGAGUUGGCUUUUGCCUUCAAUGAAGCCUGAGAUUAUGAAACGGUACAUUCGGUUGUCUACAUCGAAGGAAAUUUGGGAAUCCCUUAAGGCAUCUUACUUUGAUGAGAACUCAGCCUAGCCAAACAAGCCGGGAUCGUCCCCAAGGUAAGUGCCCACACUGUGGCAUGACAGGACACUCUAAGAGUUGUUGUUUUGAGCUGAUUGGAUAUCCUGAGAAUUGGGAUAUGACUCGUGAUCCUCGUUGCAACAAAUCUUGAGCCUCUGUUGUAGAAACCAAGAAUGAUUCGGACCAGAUAGCGGACAAGGCAUCUGCCAUGAUUGCUACGGCAGGUAGUAUGGUAAGGCACUAAGUACUUCUACUUCUGUUAUGAAUAAUACAUGAAUAAUUGAUUCCAGAGCUAUUGAACAUAUGACUUGUGAUUCUAAACAGGUUCCAUCACUAAAAACAUCCACACAGACUGAGGUCAAUGUUGCUAAUGGUAAUGUCAUCCCUGUUACUGGGGAAUGCACUGUUUCCUUUUUCGAUACCAUAAAACUUGACACUGUUCUUGUGGUUCCCUCUCUAAAUUAUAAUUUGUUGUUCGUUGCUUAAAUAACUCUUGCCUUACAUUGUUUGGUUAUUUUUUGGCCCUAUUUUUGUGUUUUUAAGGACAUCCGGACGCAGAAGAAGAUUGGUUAUGGUAUUAAAAGAGGGAAACUUUAUUACUUGGAGUCGACCACCAGUAGUUCUAGCUUGCUAACUCAAGCCCUUUCCGUUGAUGAUUCUCAAGGGGAUACUAAUAAAGUGUUAGACAUCUGGAUGUGGCAUCGGCGCCUUGGGCAUGAUUCCUUUGGUUAUUUGCAUCAGUUAUUUCCUAGUUUGUUUGUCAAGAAUGAUGUUUCUCAGUUUAAGUGUGAUGUUUGUGAAGUGGCUAAGAGGCAUCGAACCUCCUUUCCUCCCAGUUUAAAUAAAAGUACCGUUCCUUUUAUGAUUGUGGAUUCUGAUGUAUAGGGACCGUCGAAAAUAGCUACUCUUGGUGGUGCUCACUGGUUUGUUACUUUUAUUGACGAUUGUACCAGAAUGACUUGGGUUAUUUUGUUAAAGUUGAAAAGCGAAGUUAGUUCGGCCUUUCAACGGUUCCAUAAAAUGGUUUCUGUGCAAUACAACAGGAAUAUCCAGGUUCUUAGAAGUGACAAUGGGGGCGAAUAUGUUAAUAUGGAACUUCGUUCCUUCCUAGAAUUGCAUGGUAUUGUUGAUCAGACCACGUGGCUGUAUACUUUUCAACAGAAUGGGGUUGCAGAACGGAAAAAUAGACACCUGUUAGAAAUGGUUCGUGCUUCACUCAUUGCGGCACAUCUGCCUCUACAUUAUUGGGGAGAUGCACUUAUGUCCGCAGCCUACCUUAUUAAUUGUCUUCCUUCCCGUACUAUCAACUUCCAUACGCCAUUUCAGGCUCUCAGAUCUCAGACUAGCAGCCCACCAACUCCCAAUCUCCCUCCACGGGUCUUAGGGUGUGUUGAUUUCGUUUAUCUCCAUCCCCCUCAACGGAAUAAUAAACUUGAGCCUCGAGCCAUUCAUUGUGUUUUUUUGGGUUAUGUUACUACCCAGAAAGGAUAUCGUUGUUUGAUCCUUCGAGUAAAAAAAUGUUUAUUACUCAUGAUGUGAUUUUCCAUGAGAAUGAAAUGUUUUUUGGAUCCUCUGCGUCCUCACUUCAGGGGAAUACCGAAAUAGUGAAGUUCUGACAUGAGAUAAUAGUGAAGUUUUGAGAUUUGAUUACUCUCACAUGGGUAGAAAUGAUCUACAUGAUGAGCAACCAUUGGAAUCAUCACGCCUGGAGUACACGGCAUAUGGAGAAGGGCAGCAGCCCAUGUGUUGCAGUGAUCAGCCCACGACAUCUGAAGAAGGGCAGCAGCUUGUGUGCUUUGGUCAUCAGCCCACUGAUGAGCAGCAAACAAAUCAGAAGGAGGAGUAGCCCACGAGUCCUACUAUUUGUAGUGGAACCGAGCAACAAUUGCAGCAUUUGUCACAAGAUUUUUCUCUCGAAGUUAUAUCAGGUCCGACUAUGAACUCAUAUUCUAUUAAUUCUCAUAACCAAUCGUUUCCUACACCGGAUGCACCUACACUCCGUAACCUUCCCGAGCAUAUUAAUCAAGGUAUUCCUAAACCCACUUAUGAGGUAGAUCUUAAGUGUAAACACAAGUAUUCCGUGAGUGAGCCAAACUCUGAUUCAAGAGUGAGAUACCUAUUAAACAAUUAUGUGUCUACCUGUCACCUGUCAGAAUCAAAUAAGUCAUUUGUAUCAAUUAUCUACUGUAUCUAUUCCUAACAGUGUGCAGGAGGCUUUAGCAGAUUCCCGUUAGAAAGAUGCAAUGAACGAGGAAUUGAGAUCGUUGAAGAAGAAUGCUACCUGGGAAAUAACUGACUUGCCAGCCGAAAAGAAACCUGUGGGAUGCAAAUGGGUUUAUACAGUGAAAUACAAAGCAGAUGGAACGGUAGAUCACUUUAAAGCACGAUUGGUAGCAAAGGGGUAUAUGCAGAAAUAUGGCAUUAACUACACUGAUACGUUCACACCAGUGGCAAAGAUCAAUAUAGUUCAUGUUCUACUGCCCUUAGCAGCAAACCUGGAUUGGCCUUUGCAACAGUUCGAUGUAAAAAAUGCAUUCCUCCAUGGAGAUCUAACUGAGGAGAUUUACAUGGACCUUCCACCAAGGUGCAAUCAUUCGGACAUACGAAAAUAAAAGGUAUGUAGGCUCAAGAAAUCAUUGUAUGGGUUAAAGCAGUCUCCUAGAGCCUGGUUUGGUAGAUUUACCAAGUCCAUGAGAGCAUUCGGGUAUAGGCAAAGUAAUUGAAAUCACACGUUAUUCCUGAAACGCCAGAAUGGAAAGGUUACAGCCCUCAUCGUAUAUGUGGAUGAUAUGGUGGUUACUGGUAAUGAUCAUGUUGAGCAAGCAGCCUUGAAAAAUUAUUUGUCCACAGAAUUUGAAAUGAAAGAUCUUGGUUCUUUGAAAUAUUUCCUUGGGAUUAAAGUGUCAAAAAGCAAGUCUGGGAUAUUUCUAUCACAAAGGAAGUAUGUUCUUGACCUAUUGGAAGAAACUGGUAUGACAGUGUGCAAGCCUGUGUCUACUCUGUUGGAAGAAAUGAAGUUGGGUAUCGAUCAGAACGAAGUACCGGUUGAUAAGGGGAGGUAUCAAAAGUUAGUAGGAAGAUUAAUGUACUUGGCUCACACUAGGCCGGAUCUUGCUCAUGCCUUAAGUGUGAUUAGUCAAUAUAUGCAUAAUAUUCCAGGAGAACAACACAUGAGUGCAGUUAUGAGGAUAUUGAGUUACUUGAAAAGAAGCCCUGGUAAAGGAAUUUUAUUUCAAAAAAAUGGGCAUUUCAAAAUUGAGUGUUAUACAGAUGUUGAUUAGGCAGGAUCAACGGAUGAUAGGCGUUCGACAUUUGGGUAUUUCACCUUCGUUGGGGGAAAUCUAGUAACAUGGAGAAGCAAGAAGCAGAAUGUUGUAUCAAGGUCAAGCGCAAAAGCUAAAUUUAGAGGCAUGGCACUCAAUAUUUGUGAACUCUUGUGGCUUAAGCUUCUGUUAAAAGAUGUGGGGGUCAAACAUGAUUAGCCGAUGAAGUUAUUUUGUGACAAUAAAGCUGCUCAUGAUAUUGCUCAUAAUCCUGUACAACAUGAUAGGACCAAGCAUGUAAAGGUUGACCGAUUCUUUAUUAAAGAGAACCUAGAUAGUAAAGUAAUUGAGGUUCCUCCCAUAGGAACGGAUGACCAAGUAGCAGAUAUUCUCACGAAGGCGGUCUCUAGUGACAAGUUCUCCAGGUUUCUGGACAAGUUGGGCAUGCGCAACAUCUAUGCACCAACUUGAGGGGGAGUGUUGACUUGUAUUAGGAUUCUUAUAAUUGUGGGAUUCCUGCUAUAUUUGGUUUCCUAGUUAGGAUGUAAGUAUUUUCCCCUUAUUCUUUCCCAUAUUUGUAUAGGGUUGUAUAUAUACCUUUGUUUGAGAUGAAAUACACAUAUCAUUGAAAAGCAUUUUUUCUUUUCAAAAUACAUGGGAGACACGAUUCACGUCUCUUUCGUGGUAAUUAAAGUCGAUUCGACCUGGCAUUACACCGGCGACGGCGUUGAUCUCACGGUAUGAGUGAAUACUAUGAUGUUUCAUAUUUGUUUGUUUUUCCCAAUUGUUUGAUGUUUCAGAAUUUUGUCUAUUUGAUCUUGUUGUGGAGAAGAUUUAAUGGUUUUUGCUGGUUUGCAUUACUUUUUCUACAUUGGCAAGUUGAAUUUUGAUGGAAGAUAAAGAUUAUGGGUUUUUGUUUAUGUUUCCAUUGGUUAUAAGAGGGUGGUGCGGGUUGCAGAGGAGAGAAGGGAGGGAGGUUGGGUGGGGGUUGCAGAGGAGAGAAUGGAGGAUAUGGGUUGCAGAGGAGAGAAGGGAUGGAGGGGGUUGGGAGAGGUAGAAGACGGGUGGGUUUUUUUUUUUUUUUUUUUUUUUUUUUUUUUUUGAAAUUUUAAUUUCUACAUGGACUCCUUAAUGACACGUGACAUCCAGUCAUUGUCCACGUGGGCACCAUGUCAUCAGUUAACAGGAGACUUAACAUCCAGACUAACAUAUGAAUGAGAUUGUCCCAAAAUUAACACUUUAGGUAUGACUCUAGGACGAAAAAAACUUUAUGUACCAAAUGUUGAAAACCACGAAACUUGAGGGUAGUAAACUAAGAUUUACCCUAAUACAAAAUUACAAAUAAUACUUUAUUUUUAUUUUUUUCUCAAAAAGCAAACAAUUGAUGCUGGUGGCAAGCCACAAUUAUUUACCAUUUUCAGGCCCGAAGAGGCUCUAGGGAAUUUUACCCUACACGUGGCCAAUAAUACUUUAUUAAUUGAAACGAAAUCAAACACUAUAAAUUUGUGGAGACGGUUACAAACUCAUAAGACUACAUCUUACUAGACUUGUUGUAAAUAAUAAAUACAAGGCUCCUAUUUAUAGGAGAAAACUAAACCAAACCUUAAUCCCCAACGGGCAAAAAAAGUCUAUUACUUGAUCUAAAAAAACUAUAAUUAAAAAAUAAAUAACUAAUUUUCCAACAAAUUUUGUGUCUUGCUGAUCGCAUGGCUAAUGGCUCGAUUAAAGUGUACUUUUAAUGAAGAAACAUUUGUAGGAUGUGCCCAAAAAGCCUACAUUAGAAAGUGCAUCAUUUUUGGAGUGUUUUUAUUUUUUACUUUAAGGGCCUAAAUAAGACUCCUUUUAAAUUGUAACUUUUAAUGGUUUUCCUGCUUGCACUAGGCAAGGCUCUCCUUUUUGAUAAUUUGAAUUCUGACCGUCCUCGUGGCUUUGCUUUUUAAUUUAUGGUUUCUUGUAAAAAGACCUUAAUGGCUUUCAAAAUCUAACUUUAGUCCAGUUUGUAAGAUUCAAUGCCACAUCAUUCUAUAGCACCUCUACCAAAUUAACUAUUUACAUACAUUGCCAUCUAAAAUUGUUACCCAACCCAUAAUCACAAACUUAAUAAUAGGAAAUUGUUGUUGUCCUAGUUUUAUUAGGAAUGUGAUUUUAUAAAUCUUAGUAGAUUAUAUGUAAGAUUCUACGAUAUUUUUAGAUAGUUUUUUUGUGACAACCCGUCCCAAAUCUUACGUCUUUACAAAAUUUAAAAGUGUGAUUUUACGAAAAUGCCUUUAGAGGCGAGGGUCUGACAUCUGUUGACCAACGUAUAGCGAGGUGUACGAAUUAAUACUUAGCGUAUUCCUGAUGUACUCGACAAUACGGGCUCGUAGGCGCAAGUAGAAGACGAUUUGGAGUUACGGUUAAAGUUCUACGGAACUCUAAACCGAGAAGUACUUUUAUUUUGGUUACUAUUUAUAUUUUUAUAUCUAUAUGAUUAUAAGUAUUAUUAAUUUAUUAAUUGUUGUUAGAAUUAGGGGAAGAAGAAAGAGGAAGGUCGGGAGGAUAAAUGAUAGAAAGGGAUUGGGGAAAGCUGCCUAAUCUGGAAAAAAAAGGAAGGAGAGGUCGAAUGAGGAGAAGAGAGAGGAAGGUGAGUGACCAACCAGAAGAAGGAAAGAAGGGAAAGGACGAGGAAAGAAAAGGAGACGAUCGACCAUAUCCCUUGAACCCGCACCCAACCCGGUUUCGAAACCGGUGGAAUUCCAGCAUUUUCGAGCCGUUUUUCAGGCGAAUUUCACCCCAUUUCCACCUGCAAUCAUCACCAUACCUCUUCCCCUGCAUUCUUCUAUCAAGAUUCGAUGGAAAUUAGGUCAAAUUCGUGACUUUUUGGCGGUGGUGACAUCGACGGGUUUUGUGUCAAUUCUCCCAAUUUUGAAGCAAUUUCUUCCAAUUGUCACCACCCAUAGACUUCCCUUGAGGCCUAGAACAAUGCCCAAUCAUUGGUUGGAACGUCGGAGUCGAAUUGAGGACGAAUCAAGAACACCCAUUUCUAGGGUUCCGACGAGUUUUGAUGAAAUUGGAGUUUUUCUAGGCCAAAUUGGCAUUGGUCAUAGGUAUGAACGUUGUUCUACUCAUUGAGAUCUUCAAAUCUGCAAAUUUUGGAAAUUUUUAGAGAUAGUUAAUUUUUCCGGCAAGUCGGGGCGGCCAACCGCCACCCACAUCGGCGCAUGGCCAGAGGGCUUCCAAUGCUAUUUUUAGGCUAUAUGUGAUGUCUUGAAUUCAGUUUUGAGAAGUAAAUGACGUAGAUUGAUCGUUAGAGCCAAAAUUCUCUAAGAUACGUUAAUAGGCCAUUAUAUGAAUCGACGAUCCGACCGUUGGAUCGUCAUCAAACUUCAAUGGGUUAUUAUUCAUAAUAAUUGAGGAAUAUAGGAACUUAUAGAUUGGGAAUCUGAUGUAUGGAUCUCCUCGAAUUGGAUUUGUAAGUUCGUAAUAUAAAAUGUUAACCGCCACUUGGUUUUGGGCAAUUGGCGAAGAUCCUACCGUUGGAUCGUUCUAAAAUUUUUGUAUGUUAUUCUAGAAGCAUAAUGUGUCCUUGGAAGUUACGGAUUAGAGAUCUGAUUUGUAGAUCUUCUGAAGCGAAUUGCGUAGACUGAUGUGCGAUGUAAGUUAUGUAUUGUAUCAACGAGAAUUCUGAGAUAUGGUUUGAUAAUUGGUCACAGGCGCCGAUCGUUUGUGAUGCCUCGAUAUUUAUGCUAGGAAGUUGUAGCGCGGACUCUAGGUGAGUGGAUCUUUCCUUGCUCAUCAUAUGUUUCAUAAUUGAUAAUUCUAUAAAUGCUUUUAAAUAAAACUGAGAAAUUUAUGCCAUGACAUAUAUAUAUAUAUAUAUAUAUAUGUUAUAAAAUACUAUGAGAUGGUUGAGUUUAGAUUUCAUCGUGAUAUAUCCAUAUGCGUAUUACUAUAAAUGAUUAUUGCGAACUACGAAUGGCUUAAUCCCUGUUUAGGGUACGUAGGCAGUCUAACGAGACGUUAAAUGCAGCCAUAUAAGAAAUGAGAUUAAAUAAUCGAGACCAUAGCCUUAUUUAAGGAAUUGAGCAAUGUGUGUGGGCUUUUGGUUUUAAGUAUAUAUGUAUACGCUUGAUGUUUUUCCCAGAAAAUGCAAUUAAAUGAUUUAUGCUUUAAAAAUGCCAUGCCUAUUGAAUAACGCUUAAACGAUGAGUUGAAUGGGUUGUAUAUAUAUAUAAUUGUGGUGCUGUGAACGCUCUGAAGUGCAAAGGUGAAUGCAGGACAAUCAGGUAAGUUCAGGUAAGUUUAGGUAAAUUCAAGUAAGUAUACGGUAUUAGUUGAAUUGAUGGGGUUAUGAUAUGACUACAUUUAUGUUUUUAGCAACUCCGACACUAUCCUACAUGUUGCAAUAGUAGGCAACUCCGGCAUUGUCGUACAGGUUGCUUAUGAGUUGUACAUGUUAUAUUAGAUGCAUUUAAAGCUCAUAAACCUGCACCCCAGGUGAUUGUGAUUAGCCAGAGAUAUGGUACAGACCUGUUUAUAAUGUCACCUCCCGCACCCUAUGCUCAUAUUGGAUCCAAUUUAGGUGCACAGUCUUGUCGUACAGACCAUCAUAGGUGGUUCCGACUCGUAGGUGACUAGCGAUUUAUUGCAUGGCUAUCUUGAGUGCGUAGCAUUGAGCAUAACUAUAUUACACCCAAUCUUGUCGUACAGACAUUUUCAGUGGUUUCGACUUGUGUGCAGUGUAAUGUCGUAUAGGUCACUAAAGGUGACUCUGGCUUAUGUGCUAGCAAUGAUUGAUGAGAUAUGGAUAAGUCGUACAUGUUAUUAUAGAUGACUCCGACUUACGAGCUAGCUGAUGUGAUGAAUAUGUGAUAAGCUAGCAUAUGUGAUGAAAUAGUGAUGAACUAGUAUAUGUGAUGAGAUAUGGAUAAGUCGUACAGGUCACCCUAGGUGACUCUGACUUGCGUACUAGGAUGAGUUAUUAAUCGCAUGAUUAUUUAAUAUUAUUGAUGAGAUGCUGUGUUGUGGUAUAUUAUGAUAUUUCUGGAAAUUAUACAGGUGUUGUAGCGAGAGGUUAUAAUGUUUUAUAUGUGUUCUAUUAAUAUUUUACUUUCAGGGCCACUCACUCUUGUCUUGUCUUCACCCCCAGGUUUUAUUAGCUGAGCUUUCUUAUCGUCGAAGAUUCGUGGUGAUUCUUAGUAUUGGAGACUAUUUCGAGGAUACAAUUCUUAAUUCACUCUUCUGUACUUGCUUAUGCUUUAACAUCACGUGUGAAGUGGGUUUAUUCCCGCUCACCAGUGCACUCUGGUAUUUAGGCACUCUUAGGUUUAAAUUUAUUCAUAUUUUUUUCCACAUCAUCACACGUUAUGGCUACGUCACCUUCCAGGUGUCAGUCAGCACAGCUCAAUUUGGAGUCCUAGUGGACAUUCUGGGUCGGGGUGUGUCAUUUUUUGUUUUACUUAUUUUACUUGGAGAGAAAGUUUCCCUCUCCUUUAUUAGUACAAAUAAAGGCACAAUGCAUGAGUAAUAACACACAGAAUUCUUCAAGUCAUUCUCUGUCCUCUCUGACCAAUCUCUCUCUUUCUUCCCUCACUAAAAUAGGCUUACAACCACUACAAUAGAACUGGUCUUUUAUAACAUGUUAUCGGCCGGCUCGUGUUGCUAGGCUAAUGAAUUGAAGGGGUUUAGAAAAGAAUCUUCUACAACUAACAUUCAAAGGCAUUCAUCGUUUACGCCCAAUCCAAGUUCUUCUAAAACAUAGAAUCGAUAUUUUAUAAGAACCUGAUAGCAUGGAAACAUUCAACAUGAUGCAUAAACUCCAAGUUUAUAUUUGCUUUGUAUUGCCUAUAUUGCAUAACUUGCUCAAUUAUAUAAAUAUUGUGCAUGCAUAUGCAAUAUUGUAUUUCGUUAACUUUGCUAUGCAAUAUUAUGUUUUAUUAUAUUAUUCAAUAAUUCUAUGGUGAAUUGUGUGAGUACAACAAAAAACAAGAAAGUAGAAACAAAAUUAGGAUUUUUUUUCAAAACCCUAAUAGUUAAACGAAGCCACUACCUUAAGCCACUGAGUUGCACUGCGUCAUGCCAAGCCGUGUGCUUGAAGCCACUUCUAAUAUGACGCCUUUUGGCGUUCUGUUCAGCGCCCUAAAUCCUUUGGGCAUGCUAUUUGUUGAGGCCCAAGCCUAGGAGCUGAGCUCUCAUUUUUCUCAGCAUGCCCCUGCUGUUACGAAUUGUGGCCAGAUGCUGCUAGGCUGCCCUCAUCUCAGCCUAAGCCCCAUGUUAGGUUGCUCUUUGAUUUCAUCUCAUACCUUGGGAUGACAAUUCAAUCUGUCAAAUCCGAUCCCCGCAAGUAACCGAUCCCCGCAAUCUGUCAAAUCCGAUCCCCGUAAGUAAUGGAUAACCGUUGGGUAAAUUUUUCGGUUUUAGGUUCGGUUAUGGUUAUUGGGGUAUCUGCCCCAAACCCAUACCCCGAACCGAACCAUUUUAUCUAUAAAUAAAAAAAAAUAUAAAUAUUUAUUAUAUGAAAAGGGGUUGUUAAUAAUCAUGCAUUAUUAAAUAUGAAAUUAAUUAUUUACUUUUAUAUCAUUAAUAAUAGAAAUGAUAUGCUUAUAAGUUUCAAGAGUGUAAAUGUUUUCUUAGUAAUAUAAAUUUUUAAUAUUACUUAUUAGAUGCAUUGUAUCAAUUUUAUUAAUAAUAGCAAUUUAUUUAAUAUUGUUUAUUUAAUAUUCUUCAUUUAGUUAAUAAUAUAAAUAAAUAAAUAUCAUAAUGGGGAAAACCGUUCCCCGAUCAAAAAUGCGUUACUCGACAGGUUCGGUUAUGGGGAAAACCCGUUCGAGGAUUCAACGGGUUCGAGUUCCGGGAAAAUAAACGGGUUCGAGCAUGAGGAUGGCACAUUCGAACCCAAUUCGCCCUGUUGCCAUCCCUACUCAUACCCAGCUUUUGCUGGGUGCACUGUUCACAGCUCACACCAAUUUGGGUCUUCCACCAGUUUGCCCUGCAACUAUCCUACUCAAUAUGGCAUUAACCACUAUACUUCUUUGCUUCCACUACCGACCCCUAUUUGAGCCCGACCCAUCAGAUUAAUUUAGUGAUUGCAAUUCAUUAAUCCGACAAAAAAAAGUAUUUUUGGCCCACAACCCACUUUCUAUAAAUUAUAAUCCAAUGUUUUAUUUUAGGGUAAAUCUCAGUUUACUACCAUCAAGUUUCGUGAUUUUCAACAUUUGGUACAUGAUGUUUUUUUCAUCCCAGAGUUAUACCUAAAGGCCUUGUUUGGCAUACCGUAUAAGGCAUCAAAUAAUGCUAAUAAUACGGAGUACAGUGUUUGGUGUUCGUUUGGAUUAAAUAGCCACCGGAUUAAAUAAUCCGGCCCACCUUUUUUAUACGGUCUUUACCCACUUGCUUGUACCGUCCAAAACCAUGGUACAAUUUAGUCGAGCUCCUCUCCAGAUGCACUCUUGAUCUCUAGAUGCUCUCUCUUCCUCUCCAGACGCACUCUUGCUCUCUCUUCUAAAUCUCAGGUUCAUCUUCUCAAAUUCUUCUUCUUCGUUUGAAUCCCAGUUCAUUUUCAUUUUUCUUCUUCUUCCUAAGUUCUGCCCUUCCCUCUGUUCUUCACCGUUGGCCAAAUCACCAUUGACCCAAAAUAGGGCCUAAGACUUUACCCUUCAUUCUCUUUUGUUAGGGGCACAAAAGUGGAAACCCUUGAUUCUUUUCCUUUCGUAGAGAGCUGCUUUUUCAAUAGAAAAUUUCCAUAAAUAAAAUUUGACGUUAGAUGCUCUGAUGCCAACUGAGGUACCUGGUCAUCUCUUCAAACGAGAAAAUAUACUAAAUCGACAAACCUGCUUUGGUGUUGGCGGGGAUUAUAUGUUUCUAGGCUCAUUCUGCAACUGGGUCUUGCAAAGAAACAUGGUGUAUUUGCAAAGAGGUUCUUGACUGAAUUGCAGUAAAGGAAAAUUGAGUCCGUGGGUGUUAAUUGCAGAGCUUCGGAGUCGGAAAUCAGUCGGGGAAGAAGAAGGGAGAGAGAUGGAGGGAGUUUGAGGGGUGCAACAGAGAGAUCUGGGGAACAAAAGAGUUAAGAGAUAACUUCAAUUUUUUUUUAAAUUUUAUUUUAAGUUUAGUUCCUUCUAUCAAGUAUAAUACCAAACACAGUAUAAAUAAUACGAUCAUUAGUCUGAUACCGUACCAAACGCCCGACUAAUUUAGUCAUUACUAUCCGGUGGCUAUUUAUCCUAUCCGACAGAAAUAGUCAAUACAAUCCAAGCUGCCAAACGAGGUCAAAGUGUUAAUUUUGGGACAGUCUCAUUCAUCCGUUAGUCUGGCUGUUAAAUCAGCCAUUAACUGAUGAUGUAGCGCCCAGGUGGACAAUUACUAGGCGCCACGUGUCAAUAUGGGUCCACGGGAAUAUUUAAAAAUUAAAACAUUAAAAAAAUAAAAACAAUCAAACAUUAAAAUUAAAAAUUAAAAAUUAAAAAAAAUUAAAAACCUAAAAGCAAGAACCCAACAUCAUCGUGAUCAUCUCCCUCAUUUUCCAAACCCUAAAAACUAAUCCAUUUUAGCAGCUUAGCCUCAUAACCCUAGCCCCUUUAAUUCGACGAAGUUCUCAGCUUUUUUAUUUCUCGCACUCAUUUUGGAGAAGGAGUUCUCAGCUCCGUUGCCGUCCACGCUGAUGUUAUUGUGGUUGAUGUCGCCAGGAUCCGAUGGCGCUGAAGCGAGAAAGCAGAUUCGUUGUCUGGUGACGGCGAUGGAAUCGAUUAUAGCGGCGUAAAAGGAUAAGGAAUUGGGGAGACUGCCAGAGCUUAAAACGGAGAUGGAGGCACGGAAAAUGUGGAUCUGAUGACAAGAAGAUGAGGAAGGGAUGGUUCUUGCUGGAGAAGGAGGUGGGCGAAAAAAAAAAGGUUAAAAAACAAUAUUCUCUUGUCUUCCCCAAUCUCUUCCCCUUCUUCUCCAUCACCGUCUUCUUCGACUCCGGCUACUUGGUUGAUUAUUUUUUUCUGGGUUUUGGUGUUCAGAAAAUGGGGGAUUUGGAGAAGCAAGAAACGGUGCUUCUAGUUUUGGGGUUUGGAAAAUGGGGGAGAUGAGCGCGAUGAUGUUGAGUUCUUCUUUAAGGUUUUACGUAUGCGAUGUGGGUGGGUGUGCAGGGAGGGUGAAUGCAGAGGAGAGAAUGGAGGGAGAAUGAGGGGAAUAGGUGGGUGUAGGGAAGAGAAGUGAGGGAGAAUGAGGGAGGUGGUCGGGAGCCCAUAAUUAUUUUUAAAUUUUUUUUAAUAUUCACAUGGGCUCAUAUUGACACGUAGUGCCCAGUGAUUUUUCACGUGGGUGCCACAUCAUCAGUUAACAGUUGAUUUAACAGCCAGACUAACGGAUGUAUGAGAUUGUCCCAAAAUUAACACUUUAGGUAUGAUUCUGGGACGAAAAAAACUUUAAGUACCAAAUGUUGAAAACCACAAAACUUGAGAGUAGUAAACUGAGAUUUACCCUAUAUUUUAUUUUAUUUUAUUUUUUUGGAUUGUUGACAUUCUUUCGAAGUCCCAAAGCCACUCACACUAGGUCACCAAAGCAACCAAAAUUCACUACACUAAUUGUAUAUUGUAUCUUGUGUAUUUGUAAGUACCCCUUUUUGAAGUAGAAGUUCAUCGAAAUCGAACCUGAAGUUUCGAACUUAGUGCUUCUGAAACUCGAAGUUUUCAUAAAACAAUACAUCCAUGUGUGAGACUUGGAUUUUCCAGGAUCAGAGUAAGGUGGAUUAGAAUACGCAUACCUCAGAAGCCUGGACAUGGACUCAAUAACCUCCACUACGGAGCUGAACAAAAGAAAUAGCAAUGCCACCAUCAUCCUGCAUAAUCUACUUUUGUUUUGAUAAAAAUCAUUAGUUACGUACUUGCCUGUGCCUUUACCAAUGUCAUUUAGGAGUAACAUUCUCGUAGUCAAUAUGUGAGACAAAUUUUGAUCCACUUAUCACAUAUUAAAGAGCAUAAUUUGACAUGGAAGACCUUGUUGGCCAAAUGCCCCUAUUUACAUUUGGUUUACUUGUAAAACAUUUAUAUGUUUCCAGUUUGAAGUUUGGUAUUUGUUUUAGUUCUGGAUAACGCCCUCGAAUAUGAGUUUGAUUGAAUCAUAUAUUCUUCUACAUGUGACCGAAUUCAAUUAACAUGUGGUUAGGUAUAUAAAUAUGGGAAAGUUAGUUGUCUGGAUGAAUGUGUUACUACACACACUAACUUCAUGCCUAAAUCACACAUCUGACAACGAAUUCAAGUCUAUCAAACCUGAUUAAGGGCAUUGGCAAUGCUUCUCGUUGUUUGAGUGGUACUGAAUUACCGUUAAGGGGUCUUAUAUUCUCCUAUUUCGUAAGAACAUUGUUUAGUUUUAAGGAUAUUCGAGAGAACAAUGAUGAUGAACAAAACUAUUGAAAAUAGAGUGGAAUACUUGCACAACCUAAAAAAUGAAGCCUGAAGCUAUUUUUUGGGGCCAUUAGGCUGUCUUUUAACUGGGACGUGCCAUAUGUAGCUUGCCUGGAACUGGGUGAUUCAAGCAUUUUACUUGUAUUGGUGCGACCAUUUGGGACACUUAAGUCGAACAAUUUUUCCAUAUACGACAUGAAGCAUCUCCUUACUCGAAGUAAGAAUCUUAUGCCUACUGAUAAUUGCUCAAAGUGCAUGUCUAAUGUUCUUUCAUUAUACCUGUUCAGUAAUUUCUCUAGUAAUUUAUCGUAAUUGGGAUGUAAUAUUGGUCAAUGAUGAAUGGAUAUCUUAUUUCACCCGGAAAGUUACAUUUUUUGAUAAUAUUGUAGACAACGAAAUUUCGGUAAAUAAAUCUUCACCAACGCAUUAAAGUUUUGACGUGUCACGACAUACAUGGGAUGCACCACAUGUCACACAAUUGUACACAUGGCAUGUGACUCAACAAAUUGGAAGAAAUACCCUUGGAGGAUUAAACAAGUUUUUCUUCUCAUUUUUGGGCAAUGACAAGGCAAGCACACUUUAAUCCAUUAUGGAUGAAAACAAGUUUUUCUUCUCAUUUUGGGCAAUGACAAGGUAAGUACAUUUCAAUCCAUUACGGAUCAAAACAAGUUUCUCAUUUGGGCAAUGACAAAGCAAGCACACUUCAAGUUUAAAAUUGUAUCAAGUGGGAAAAUUAGGCCAUAAGUUAGACCACUUCAAGUUUAAAAUGGUAUUAAGUGGGAAAUUAGGCCAUAUGUUAGACCACUUCAAUUUCAAUAUUGCCUUAAGUGGGAAAAUUAGGUAAUGGUGCUUAAGUGGGAAAAUUUUGUGGUGGUAUAUCAUUCUCAAAGCCCAUAAAUAGGCUUCUCCAUCAAGGUAUCAAUGAUCAAGGAAUUCACAAAUACAUUUCUCUACUCCCAAAUUGGAAGAGAAUUCCCCAAAUCCUUGAAGCUUUGAAACUCUAAAGCUCUCAAGCAAAUCCCGAAGGAUCAAGAAAGCCCUCUUCGUUCGUCAUCAAAUUCUCCUUCAAGAUCAAGCCCCAACGACCCUUGAAGAACUUCCACCAAUUCAAGAUCAAGCCUUGACGGCCCUUGAAGAAAGUGUUCAUUGUUCAUCAUUUGUUCAUCCUAAGAUCAAGCCCCAACGACCCUUUGGAUCAACAACAUCAACAAAUCCACACAUCUAUUCUUCAAGAUCAAGCCCAACGGCCCUUGAAGAAAUUUCCCUUAACUUUCAAGAUCAAGCCCUGAAGGUCCUUGAAGAAACCAUCCGUUCAUCCUAAGAUCAAGCCCUGACGGCCCUUUGGAUCAACAACCAUCAACAAAUCUACACAACUGUUCAUCCAAGAUCAAGCUUCGACGGCCCUUAGAUCAACAACAUCCACAGACCAACAUCCUACGGAAAUCGAAUCAGAGGAUCAAAUUAGAGAUCAUAACCCAAAAAAUCAAAAUACCAAAAUAUUAUUUUGUACACAUGUUCUUGUUUCAAGAAAUUUCCGUGUUCACAAAUAUGUUAGAUUUAAAUGAAAGGAAUUAUAUGACUUUGUGUUGUUAUGGUCAGGAUUUAACCUUCCCUACUACGAUAAACAAAGGCACAAUGGGAUGAUACAACACACAUCUCAGAAUUACAUCUCUAUCUUCUCUCUCUUGCCGCUGGCCCUCUCCCUAUCUAGUUCUAAAUACAGUUCAGUAAAUUAGGCCUACAACACGUUAUCAGCACACUCUUGCCAGAAGCUAAGGAACUGAAGGAUCGUGGAUGAGGCUUUCUUCUACAACAUCAAAGGCUUUCAAUUAUUUUCUGCCAAUCAGGUUCUUUUAAAAUAAAUUAAGAUAUUUGAAAUGACCUUGAAGCAUGAAAACAUUCCCCAUGAUGCAUAAGCCCUCUAUAUUUAUAUUUUCCUUUCAAUGAUAUAUAUUGCAUAUGUGUUCAUAUAUUUUGUCAAUAUAUAUAUUUGUUCAUCCAAUAUGCAAUUAUGCUAUGUGAAAUUUGUGAGUCAAAGCAUCGAAAUUAAUUUAGAAGCAACUAGGGUUUUUAACCCUAGAAUUUGAAAAAAAAUCUAGGAUUUUUCACGGUUGAGCCAAGGCUCCAUGCUGCAUCGCCGAGCCACGCUGGUUGGCCAGCAGCCACGCCACAACUAGGACGGCGUCGUUUCGACGCCAUAGACCUCUUGCAGCAGCCCCGUGGGCUUGCUGCCACUGCACUGCAACCAGGCCGAGGCCUGGGUUGGUUUAUGCACUGCCUAAAGCCCUGAGUCCACUCCAGCAGGCCAGAAAGCCUUUGCUAGGCUCUGUCUUUGUCUUAGCCCAUCAAGCUAACAAGCUUUGCUUGCUGGGCUUUGCUUACACGCGACCCGGCCUGCCUACAGCAAGCUUUGCUUGCUGGGCUAGCCAUCUGUCUUGGCCCGCGAUCACCAAAGCCAACCCAUGUGGCUGGGCUUGCCUGGAACUGGCCCACAACAAAGCUAGCUCUUAAUGGGCUUUGUGUGCACCUGUUCCUUUUGUGGCCCACAAACCAGCAGCUUUGCUGCUGAGCCUGUCCUAGACACACGGCUCAUGGCCUGCAGCAAUGAUUGGGUUGCUCCGCAGCUAACCUGUGGCCCAUUAAACCCUUUUUGGGUCUUUACCCUGCACACGACACCCAAGCCCACCGAGAUUGGGCUAUAAUUUUAACCUGAAUGGUUACGAUCUAUUGAAUUAAUUAAAGUGACCAGCAAUUCAUUAAUCUGGUAAUUAAUUCAAAAUUAUUUACCUGAAGUUCACUUUUUGGCAAUUAAUGAUUCAAUAAAUUAUUUCGUUUCUUUGAACCGUUGACUAUUUUUCGUAGUCUCGAUGCACUCGCACUUGGGUUCCUGAAGCAAUCCACAAAUUCACUACACUUUAUUGUAUAUUGUCUUAUAUGUUCUUGCAAGUACCCCUAUAUAUAAACCGAACAUUCAUAACUAAAUUGAACCUGUAGUUUCGAAUUUAGUGUCUUUGAAACCUGCAGUUUUCAUUUAAAACUUACCACAUGAAACCCAUAGCUUUCAUGCUUAAAUUAAACCAAUACAUGUCUGUAGAACCAGCAUGUUCUACGAUAUAUGUCUAUGGCUUUCCAUAUGACUAACCACGUUUUGUUGUACCCUAUGUUUUAGGGACAUGUCGAACUUGAACAAGCUUGAUUUCACUGCUCUGGAAAUCUCUGGAAGAAAAUACCUAAAGUGGGUUCAAGACGUAAAGCUCCAUCUUACUGCAAAGAGUCUUAGAGUUACUAUUAAGGAACCUACCGAUGAUGAACCCGUCCAUGAUGCACUACAGACCCAGUACCUCGCAGAGGAGGAUCCACGUACCAUUUGGCUCGUUCUGGCCAAUCAUUUUGAUCACCAGAAAGACAUUUACUUGCCUGAAGCAAGAAACGACUGGCAGCAUUUCCGCUUCUAAGACUUUAAGUCUGUGAAUGAAUACAACUCUGAAGUUUGUAGAAUCCGAUCAUUGCUUAAGUUAUGUAAAUAUGACUUAACCGAACAAGAUUUAUUGGAGAAGACCUAUUUGACCUUCAAUGCCACCAAUAUUGUUCUGUAGCAACAAUAUAAGGCAAAAAAGUUCACCAAAAUUUCGAAUUUGAUAUUUGUUUUACUUCUCGCUGAAAAGCAAAACCAACUUUUGAUGAAGAAUCAUCAUGCUUGACCCACUAACUCGAAUGCUUCGCCUGAAGCGUAUGCGACUAAUUCUAGCAACCAUAACCGAUGGAAACCCCAUCGUGGCAGUGGAAAUGGGCAGCAAGCCCCACCACGGGCCCAAGGUCAACAAAUCAGAGGCUCACCCAAGGGAGGAAAUUUGACCCGGAAGCGCCAACUCCUUACCCUUAAAGCCCUAAACUUCAAGAACAAGGGAAAAGCUAUCGCUCAAUCAACUUCCACUGAACUGGACAUGUGCUAUCAUUGUGGAUCAAAGGAUCAUUGGUCACGCGUAUGCCGAGCUACCCCCGAGGCUAUUGCUAAGUAUCAUUCCCGUCGUGAGAUUAACUUUGUGCAUGUAGAACAUCCCGAAGAUACUACUACAACUUUGGAGGUUUUAGAUUUUCAUGAGGCAUCUACUCCCAUGGAAGAAUAAAGUUUUAUUUUUCUAAGACAUGUUAGGGCGUUUUUACACCCCUAGUGGCUGAACCUCUCCUCUAAAUUUUAGGUUUAUGGUUUAAUUUUUGGACAAUUUUUCUAAGUCUUUGGAAUUAUUUGUUUGGAUUGGUUUGUUUUGAAUUAUAAUUAUUUUAUGGAUAUUAUUUCUUGAAUUGAUUAAUUGAAUGAAUGGAAUUAUAUUUAUGCAUGUGACCAAUUCAAUUAAUUUAUUUCUAGGUAUAACUAGUGGGGAAGUUAAUUAUCUGGUUGAUAGCACCACCACGCACACCAUAUUGUGUGAGAAACACUAUUUUACUAACUUCGUACCUAAAAAUGCAUCUCUGACAACCCUUUCAGGCCCAUAUAAUCUGAUAGAAGGAUACGGAAAGGCCUGUAUUAUGUUGUCCAAUGGUACUGAAUUAACCAUUAAAGAGACACUCUAUUCUCCACAUUCUGAUAGAACAUUCUUGAGUUUUAGAGACAUUUGAGAUAAUCAAUAUCAUGUUGAAACCACUGAAGAGAAUGGUUCUGAAUUUCUUUGUAUCACUUCUUACGAAUAUGGCCAGAAGUGUAUUCAUGAGAAACUAGAACGUCUCCCGAGUAGGUUGUACAUAACAACCAUUUGAUCCAUGAAGACCCAUCAUGCGGCCGGCCCUAUGGCUGGGUUCUAGAGCACUCUCCUGCUUUGGCAUGAUCAAAUAGGAAACCCCGGACGAGAUAUAAUGCGCCGUAUCCUCAAAGUAUCAUAUGGGCAUCACCUAAAAUCUUAUCUCGGCCAUCCACUUUGCAAAGCAUGCUCCCUGGGGAAGUUGAACAUUCAACCCUCACUUACAAAGAUUAUUCACGACCCCCCUAAGUUUCUUCAGAGAAUUCGAGGGGAUAUUUAUGGACCUAUCCAACCAACAUGCAGACGAUUUAACUACUUCAUGGUGUUGGUUUAUGUAUCGAUGUGAUGGUCACAUGUUUGCUUAUUGUCCACACGCAAUGCUGCAUUUGCAAAACUUCGAGCACAAAAUAUUAAGCUUAGGGCUCACCAUCCUGAUUAUCCUAUCAAGUCGAUUUGACUAGAUAAUGUUGGAGAGUUUACGUCACAGAUUUUUGACAAUUAUUGCAUGUUUGUUGAGAUUGAAGUCGAACAUCCUGUACCUCAUGUUCACACCUAAAACGGCCUGGCAGAAGCUUUCAUAAAACGCCUUCAAACGAUAGCUCCAACUUUGGUUAUGUGAACCAACUUGCCGGUACCUGCCUACGGCCAUGCAAUAUUUCACCAAACUAUGUUGGUCCACCUAAGGCCCACUGCUACCCAACCUCAUUCACCGUUAUAGUUGGUUACUAGAUACGAGCCUGACGUCUCGCAUUUAUAUGUGUUUGGGUGCGUAGUCUAUGUGCCAAUAGCGCUGCCACUACGUAGCAAAAUGGAUUCUCAAAGAAAAAUGGGAAUCUAUGUUGGUUAUGAUUCACCAUCAAUUAUUCUCUACUUAGAGCCCUUGACAGGAGAUCUCUUUACCACACGUUUUGCGAAUUCUCACUUCGAUGAAACAGUUUUCUUGUCGUUAGGGGGACAUAAGAUCACUAACGUUCCUGUAGAAUGCUGCAAAUUGUCGUGGAUUACUCCCACUAUGUCUCAUUUAGAUCCCCGCACCCCUCAGUCUGAAACUGAAGUGCAAUGUAUUCUAAAUCUUCAGAGCAUCGCUCAAAGCAUGCCGAAUGCUUUUACUGAUCUAGCAAAGGUGACGAGAUCGCAUAUACCCGCUGUAAACGCACAUGCAAGGAUGGACGUACUCAAUGUACGUUGUAUCACCGCCUAGGAAGGCUGGACCGUCCCCGAGGGUGGGGCGGCCGCACCUCCCACACGGCCCAUACAUUAGCGGCUAGCCAAUCAUCUGCUCCUACCCUGAAGUGUGAUAAUUGCUCAAAAGUGCAUGUCUAAUGCUUUUUCAUUAUAUACGUUAAGUAAUUUCUCUAGUAAUUUAUUGUAAUUGUAAUGUAAUAUUGGUCAAUAAUGGAUGCAUAUCUUAUUUCACCCCGAAAAAAGUUACUUUUAUUUUAUUUUAUAAUAUGUUGAAUUUAAAUGAAAGGAAUAAUAUGACUUUGUGUUGUUAUGGUCAGGCUAUUGAAUUGGACCACAAUUGUGGAUGCAAAUUUUCUCCUCCUCGAUCUUGGACGAUUUUGCACCUACAAAACAACUAGCACCUUAGGUUAAGGCCAAAAGCCUCACGCGCCCACGAUGAAUGGGGGGGGGCUUUGGUCGAAGAAACUCCGAUGCCAAAGUUAGAAUUUUUAGAGAGAAAUAGUGUUUAGAGUAUUUGGGAUUUUUUGCAAGAGGUUUGGAAUGAAUUUUUGGUGAGAAUAUGUGUCUAUUUAUAGAGUUAGGGUUUGCCCUAUUUUGAAUAAUAGUAACCGGCCAUAGGGUUUUGUGGGGGUUAAUUUCAUGUUUAAUUUGCCAAUUUAUUGGCUAAUUAAAUAUGAAAAGAAUAAAUGGGUGGUUAUAAAAAUGAUUGACUAUUUUGAUAAGGAAAAUGGGAAAGAUGAGGAUGUGAAUAGUGGGGGCCGGUUUUGGGCUAUUAAUUGGGUGAUUUUAUUGACUAUUAAGGAUGAUUUUAGGAGACAUGGUAGGUAUAUAUUAUUUAGCUAAUUGAUUAGCUAAAUAAUGAAAUAGAAAAUACUAGGUUUUGGGAAAUACCUUAUAGAAAGGAUUUGAUUAAAGAGGUUUUUAAUUGUUACCUUUUUUGGGCACUUUUGACUUGAUUGAAAGAUGAUUGCCCACUGCUCGCACGUAGGAAUCCUAGUAUGCUUCGUGGGUAUUUUUGUCCUCUUUUGUCCAAGAGUCCACGUGUCGCCUAGCGAAUAUUUUUGGCUCCACAAAUGCCCCCACACCUGUUGGGCUGCUUGCAGAAAAGUGCAACAGGUGUAGAGAUUUUCUCGCUUUAGGUAACUAUGAAUUGCUUCCUAUUUUGUUGUUGAUUCUCUCUUUUAAUAGGAAAUUAGAUCCUUCUAGGAAAAGGAAAUAAAUCCCUCUCAAAGUUUAUUUAAAUCCACCUUAAGUGGAUUAUCAAAUCAACUUUUAGAGAAAAAUUUAUUCUACCUUGCAAGAGAGAAAGAACUUAGAGGAUAUUUGUUCCCCCUCCUCUAGCAAUUUUCUACAUCUUGCCCGUGCAAAGGACCGUCUUUCGUUGCUUGCUUCGUCUUCUCGUUGUUUUUAGGUAAGAAAAAGAAAAAAAUUAUUUUUCUUGUCUUCUUGAUUCUCUGGAAUCUUUGGAUCUUGACUCUAGGCUUGAUGGGAAUCGGAGACUUGUGAUGGGCUGGUGAACCAUGGCAUGGCAAUGCCGUGAAAAAAUAUACAUACAUAUAUAUAUAUAUAUAUAUAUAUAUUUUUUUUUUUUGCUGGGCGCUGGGGCGCUGCUGGGUAGAUGAUUAGCCAAGCCGUGGGGCCUGGCACUUUGACUGGGUUCCUGCGGCUUUCAACAUUUUUUUUUUUUUUUUGCCGAGAGCUGUUUCUUUUUUUUUUUUUUUUUUUUUUUUUUGAAAACAACUCUCUAACAAAUCUUCCUUGUACUUUUGUAGAAUUUUCAAGCAUGUCUUCCUCGAGCCGCAAGAAUGAUGAUGGUGUGCCCCCGUUGUAUCGUCAAGGCGGGUCUUUGAGCAAGAUUGGCUACUUCAAAGCUGCUCACCUCAAGAUUAGCUCCGACAAUUUGUUUAGAGAUUUUCUUGAAACGUAUUGGCAUGCCAUUCCGUCGGGAGUGCGUGUGAGGCGAAUUAAAGGAUGGUAGCAGCCGGGAACCAUGCAGUGGAACUCGGAGAGCUAUUCAAGUUCCAUCCUUACUAUUUUUGUGUUAGGGUUUACUUUCCCUAUGCCGCGUUUCUUCCAAGAAGUGCUUUGCUCUAUGAAAUGUGCGCCUGCCCAAUGUUCCCCGAAUGCGGUCCGAGUGAUGGUGGGGUUCCACAAUUUGAACCAAUUCUUUGACUUGGGACUAACCACCAACGAAUUUUGGUAUUUCUUUGACAUAGGUCGUAUUGAUGGAGUUGGACAACUGCGAAUUCGUCAUAAGCUUUUUGAUAAUUCGAGCAAAGGAGAUCAUGAUUGGGCCAAAGAGACUUUGGAGAUAAGUGGAGAAUGGGAAUCUGAUUCUUCUCCCGGGCUGCGUGUAUCAACGGUCUUCAUAUCUGGUAAGCAGACUGCCUAGUCUUUUCGGCUGCUUUGCUUUAGUGCCAAAUUAUUCUUCAAUUUUCUGAUUGUCUUCCGUUUUUUUUUUUUUUUUUUUUUUGUAGAUUCGGAAUUUGGCUCAACUCCUAGGGUUUCUCCAGACAUGAAAAAAGUACAUGUCGCUCUGGGUAUCCCUUCCGAGUAUCGUGAGUGGCAUUGGCUGCUUAGUCCUCUUCGUAAGGAAAAAGGUGGACUGCCCCUAGAAGAAGAAAUAAAACGGAUCAAGGCAGACGCGAUGGCUCGUCCUAUCACUGUGAUGGAGCCUACUAUCAAUGAAGGUGGGAAAAGAAACAUUCCCCGCCUGCUCAAGAGAUGCAUGCUGAGAAGAAAACGAAGACUGCUCGUGAGAAUUCUCCGGCUGCUCCCAAGAUUGUGAUUGACCUGACUUCCUCUAAGGGUGAGAAAGAACGAACUGCUACAUUUGUGCCGGUAACGCCUAUUGCUUCGAAGGCUGCUAGCUCGAUUGCUGAAAAAAUUGCUCAGCGUAAAAGUUCUUCCGUGCCUUUGGUACCGAAGUUUGUGCCGAAGCAUCCGUCCGGGACUAAACCUGGCUUACCCUUGAAGAGGCUUGCUACUAUGAAGAGUGAUAAGGUGCCCCUGUCUGCUAAAGUGGCACCAAAAACUGCUUCCUCCGCUGCUGCAACCAACUCGUCUGCUGAUAAGAAUGAAGCUGCUCGCUCAGGCAGGCUUGAAGUAUCCGCCAAGUCCGUUUCUGGGGAGGCUGCUAAGAUUUGUGCGCUUUUGAAACCAGAUCUUCUUGAAGACAUGGAUGUAUAUGCCCAGUUUGUUGAUGGCGUCAAAGAGAUUGUUGGUCCGAGUCUUUUUCCAAAGCACACACCCGAGUAUAGGAAUACUGCUCUGCUAGCCAUGAUGCAGAAAACAACAAUUCUGGCAGCCGAGUCUAUGUUCCUUGACCAAGAGGACACCAAGGCUGCUAAAGAGAUGGCAAGAACUAUAGCUGCCGAAGCUUAUUCCUCGGCCGAAAAAAUCAAGAAAUUGGAAUCUGAGCUUGUUGCUUUAAAGGAAUCUAAUACUUCUGCCCCCACUUCUCUGCAGCUUGAGGCCGCUCACCAGGAGAUCAUGGAUUUGAAGACUAGGCUUGAUGCGAUCCAAAUAAAGAAUGAAAGUGCAGAGAAGGAAAUUGAGCGUUACAUACCUCAGAUUCAAGAUCUUGAGCGUUCCAUAUCUGAAUUUCGCUCCGCUGCUUAUGCAAAGGAUGAAGAAUUGAUUGCUACUUACAACCAAGCGAUCCACUUCAAAAAGGUUGUUGACAGGCUUGAGCCUCAAGUGUCGGAACUUCAAAGUGUUUUGAAGACCAACGAAAAUCUGAAGAAAGAAAUUGAAGAGUUGCAGCGGGUUCGUGCUUGCCUGCUUGAGGAGAAUGAGCAGUUGAAGAGUGAGAAAGAUGGUUUCGAGGCUUCGCUUAUUCAGAACCAAACCGAUUUCUACAAGCUGGGCUAUGUAGAUCAUCUCUAUCUCUAUGGGCGGCCAUCUGACUGACUUUGAGUUUUCCGGUAAAGACUUCGAGACCUUUCUCUAUUUCUCCAGAAGACUUGCUCGAUUUUACCUUUGAGUCUUCUAUCGGGUGAAAUAGUUGGAGGAGUUGAUACCCAGGCUGGAGCAGUCGAGGGUAAAGAUUCGGAGGAUGCCGCUGCUGAAAAACCAAGGUUGCUGAAGGUGUAACGAACCGACGAGCAGUUGGGAGAUGUCUAAACUACUGAAGAGUAGUCUUCUAAGUAGCUUUUAGGAUUUCCUUUUCUUUCCUUUGUUGCUUUUGCUUGAACUCCUUCGGUAUUUGCUUGUUGUUUAUCAAUUUUGCUAUAAAAUUUAAUAAACUUGCUUCUUUUGCUUUUCCCAUCCUUGCUUUUUUUUUUUUUUUUUUUUAACCUUUAGUCCUUAUAGGCCAGUGGCAGGCGCGCUACUUUUCUAUAAGAAGACAAGCCCACAUAGCCUAUGCAGCCGUAGGUGUUGAUGUAGAACUUUUGCAAAGUUGUUAACCAUAGGGUUGGUAGCCGGAUGCCUUACUUACAGAAGCAGACGAAUCCGCGUAACCACUUGGCUAUUCAACCUUGGCUCUUUCCAAUUCCGUAGGCUGUGUAGCAAGUAUCACAACACUUUAGGACUUGGUGUAGGUUAUUCUACGUUUGGCAGAGGUGAAGUUUAUCGACUACGUAGCAUGUCGGUAGUGGAUAAAAUCUUCGCGUGUGCACGCUAACUUGUGUAACCUUUCACAAGAAUGUGCGGUUGCAUAAGUCUAGCGUGGUUCUACUGCUCGAAGGGCAAGCCGUAGGCAGUCUUCUGGAAAUCCGUAGGCUACCUUAGUGCACUCGGUAGCAGCUUUAGGUUUCCAGGGCAGCCGCCCAUUGGGUGUGCUGCAUAAUGUGCCCCCUCCGUCUCUAGGGCCCGGUUCCCUGCGGAUUGAGCCGAUAAACCCAUAAUCCUUCAACUAGCUAAGCCUUGAAACAGACCAUUGUGGCUACUUCUAGGAAUCCCGGCACAAGCCAUCAUGCACCUAGUUAUUCUAGGGUAGCCAAGCUCAUCCACGUCUGGAUAUUCGGAGUGUUGAGUUUAUCCUCCCGCCUUGGAGAGCACAGUUGGUCCCUUGGGGGGUGUAAUCUUCUUUUGAAGUGCAGAAAGAAAUAAGUAGUUGUAGACAUAUAUUAAAGCCAAGUUACAAAUUACUUUUGAAUUCUUUAUUGAAAAAUAAAAUGAGCAAAUAACUUGGUUGCAAAACUGCAUGAUGAUGAUUGGAUAAUCCUCGGUUUACGAGGUGGUGCCCAUUGAGCUGCUCGAGUCUUCGGGUCUUGAUAUAGUGUGAAAUCACACAUGGUAUUUCCUUAAAUUGUAGGCGUUCCAUUGCU